rnacentral:lncRNA from 1 species
GCUGGUGUGCUGCUCGUCGCACCCACCGGAGAGCACAUCAAGUAUGUAAUCCAGAUGCACUUUCCCAGGGAGAUGUCCACCAACAACACCGCUGAGUACGAGGGGUUGCUUGCCGGUCACAGGAUCGCGGUAGACCUCGGAGUUAAGAAGCUCAUCGUCAGGGGUGAUUCGCAGCUUGUCGUCGGACAAGUUAACAAAGAUUAUCAGAGCCCGUUGAUGGAGGCCUACGUAGAUGAGGUGAGGAAGCUGGAAGAGCGCUUUGAUGGUAUACAAGUGGAGCACGUUCCCUGAGCGGAGAACGACAUCGCCGAUUACCUGUCAAAGCGCGCUGCAUUCAAGCUACCUGUGGAACCAGGUACUUUUUUGCUUCGGUUAACUAAACCAUCCGUCGAACCAUCAACGGAGCAGAACAAACGAAGGAAAUCAGGCCCCGGCAAGUACUUUCCCGCUGGGCCCCCAGGGGCCGCCGGCAAGGGUGUUGUCGUGGAUUCUGAGCCUGCCGAGGAGCGACUGGCUCCGGCAGGCCGUCAAGCCCUGACCGUAGAGACGGCCGCUCCCAUGGCAGAAGAAAUGCCUUUGGUCCUUGCCGUCGAGCCCCAGGCUCUGGCAUGGGCACAACAUACCAUCCAAUUCCUCCAAACAGGGGAGCUUCCUAAGGAGCAGGAAGAAGCAGAGAAAGUAGCCCGUCGGUCUGCUAUGUAUCAGUUCGUCGAUGAUGCCCUCUAUAGGAAGAGACCGAACGGUGUGAAAUUGAAGUGCAUUCCCCGGGAAGUAGGACUGGAGCUGUUGGUGGAGAUACAUAGAGGCAUAUGUGGCUCCCACAUAGGGUCGAGGGCCCUUGCCGGCAAGGCAUUCCGGCAGGAUUUCUUCUGGCCCACUGCCCUCCAGGAUGCAACGGCACUAGUAACCAAGUGUGAAGCGUGCCAAUUCCAUUCGAAGAAGCUUCAUCAACCAGCUCAAGCCAUUCAAACAAUUCCUCUUUCCUAGCCAUUCUCGGUCUAGGGGCUCGACAUCCUGGGCCCUUUCCGCCGCGCUGUCGGGGGCUUUGAGUACUUGUAUGUUGCGAUUGACAAGUUCACAAAGUGGCCGGAGGUGGAAGCAGUGAGGAAGGUGACAGCACAGUCAGCCGUCAAGUUCUCCAAGGGGCUAGUUUGCCGUUUUGGUGUGCCAAACAGAGUCAUCACCAACAAUGGCACGCAGUUCACAAGCCACACCUUCAUGCAAUACAUCCAAGACCUCGGCAGCAAGGUCUGUUUCACUUCCGUGGCACACCCACGGAGCAACGGCCAGGCGGAGAGGGCAAAUGCUGAAGUGUUGUGAGGCCUGAGGACAAAGACUUUUGACAGGCUGCACAAGAGCGGAAGGCGCUGGAUUGAUGAGUUGCCGGCGGUUCUUUGGUCGAUCUGGACGACGCCAAAUCGAGCCACCGGCCAGACACCCUUUGCCCUGGUAUACGGGGCAGAAGCAGUUCUCCCCACGGAACUCAUAUACGGGUCACCUCGAGUGCUCGCUUACGACGAGCUUGAGCAAGAGCAAUUGCGGCAAGAUGACGCAAUGCUCCUUGAGGAAGAUCGUCUUUGGGCGGCUGUGAGAGCAGCGCGCUACCAGCAAGCCUUGCGCAACUACCAUUGCCGCAAGGUUCAUGCCCGAAGCUUUGAGGAAGGCUACCUUGUUCUUCGGCGCGUUCAAUCGGCCAAGAAUUCCAACAAGUUGACGCCGAAGUGGGAAGGCCCUUAACGGGUAAUACGAGUCACCAGGCCCGGCGCAGUCUGCCUGGAGACCGAAGAUGCUAUUCCAGUGAGCAACUCCUGGAACAUUGAACAUCUUCGCAAGUUUUACCCAUAAGGCGCGGUUGCCGGGCCCCCCGGCAAACCACCUUUUGUAAAGCCUUGCCGACAAGGCAUGUAACCCUUUGUACAAAGUCAGGCGCAGACCCUGAGCAUAAAUAAAUGAAGCGCUGGCGCCCUAAGUUAUAGCAUGCAUGCUAGGUUAAGUCUCUCCCUCGGUUAGGGUUGAUAGUGCUUAGCGGCGACUAACCCCUAGCCUAGAGGUCGAGUGUGUGUCUUUCUGUCUUCUUUGGUUCGCAGGGCACGUGGACACUUCUGCUGAGCCACUUGGAAGAAAGAGGACGAACCGGCGCUUCGGCCCCGGCAAGCCAAGACUACCGGGGGCUGAAGACACAAGGAUCCAACCAUGGCAAGCCAAGGUUGCCGGGGGCUGCGGAUCCAGAUAAGUCUUUCAUCCCCUGUUAUGCAUUUCUGUAUGGAAUAGGACAUGUGAAACCUCGUUUAUAUUCCUAAACCACCAUGCUCCCCUUUUCCUGUGCCCAAGAGCUACCCCCUGGGUCGGAACUAGGUCGUAGUCGCGGUGGCAAGAAAAUGAACGAGGGGCCUAACUCUGCUUCGCCCCUGCCUCCGCCAAGAGCGCGAGAAUGGUCGACUGAAGUGGGGGGACGGCAAGGCCUGUUGCCGGGCGACAAUGUUUAUCUUAAAAAUAACAAGGAUUCGUUCCUUGGCAUGGGCCUCGCUCACGCACAAAGAACCUGGCAAGCACCCUUUUUCAUUAAAAACAUCCCAUACAGGUAUAGUUCAUACGAAAUAAAAAACAUGAGCAAGGGGAUUACAAGUUUAAAUCUAACAAGUGCCCGCGGGCUUACAAACAAACAAAAAGAUAAGAUGCCCGUAAUCCCUUUCUUGUCCCUCUCCUCAGGAGAUGGAACAAGGUAACAGGAGGGCGAAAGGAGCGCCUAGGCGAGGUGCGAGAAGCAGAAGGCACCAAGAGAGCAUCCUGGUGCCGGAGCUGGAAGAUGAGGCAGCGGCCCGACAAUACGCGACGAAGGCGUCGGUGCCCGCGUACUCCGACUUGACGGCCGCCGCCCGCCUUCUCCGGCCCUCCUACGCCAGCCGCCCAAGGAGGCGAUGGGGAACGCGCCGAUGUAGAGCUUGACAAGGAAGGCCCUCGGCAGGGCGCGUGGCCGAGGGAGGGGCGAUGCGGUCAGUCGGAGUCGGGGUCAGCAUCCCGCCGCUCGACGCCCUCGUCGCUGCUGUCGCUGUCCUCCUCGUCACUCCCGCUCGAGUUGGAAUCUUCAUCGUCGGAGGAUCUGUCCACGCAGCACUUCAGGCGAGUUCCAAGAUCUCCGAAGACCUUGAUGGAGAGCAGGCCAUCCUCCAUUAACUUGAAGUAGAGGACGAGCCCCGCCGUCAGGCUGUGGAUGCGAGCGAACGUUUUCCAUCCGCGACAAAGGUACAUGACGUGAGGAGCGGGGAAGUCGACGUCGACCGCGUGCCGCCGUUCCCGCAGCCCCUCAUGUGCAACCUGAGGGUCUGGGGUGGAUCGAGCUCCAUCUCCCGAGCAAAUGGGGUAGGGAGACGGAGGCGGCGACGCGGUGGCCGGCGCAGCCUGAUGGAGAACUCGCGGGGCUGGUCCCCGACGUGGCCCUCCAUCGGGGGAGGCAUCACCGGCGGGGCGAGGCUGGAGCGCCGGCCCGUCCCCCUCUUCCCCGAGCGCCACGGCGACCUCGGCCUCGCCCCCUCCCCUUCCUCUCGUGGACGGCUCCGCCGCCACGAGUUCUUGGGAAGGAGGGACGUGCUGUCGGGCAGCAACCCUCGCCGCAAUCGUUGAAGGGCCAGCGCCUCCUCUCGCCAUGGCAGACGAAAGAAAGAAGCCGAACUGAAGGGGAUGGAUGAUGAAAGGAUGUGGGAUGUCGUCUCCCUCCCCCUUCUUAUAAAGAGACGGGGUCGAGACUCGGCCGCCCCGCUCGGCCAAUCUGGCCAUCGGGGGCGCAGGGACUCGAGACCGGCCCGCUGCCCCAAUUAACGAUGGCCCGGUUUCCUGCCUCCACCGCCUGCCACCUGCAUGGGGGACACGUGGUGAGCAAGCAGAAUUGAGAGGACGGGUGAGGCGACCGUUCCCCACCCCAUGAUCGUGGGGCACUGAUGCCUUGAAGGCCAUGACCUGAGUCCGCCCGAGUAAAUGAACCGCGCCUCUGCGCCUCCUUCUUUUUUGGGAAGGCGCGAGCCGCCUCUUUACCAUGAUGUGACGCAUGCGUGCGGGAAUCACCCCAUGCAUGACCCCCCACGUCACGCAUGACCCUCCACGUCGUGCGUUCAACACGGGUCGUGGGGAAGCGCAGCAGACGAAAAGUUACUGCGGUAAAAUCCGCCCCACCUGCCCGCGCAUCGUUCUAGGCCUAGCCCAAAAACGUGUCGCGCUUAUGUGUGGCCCAGGCCUGGGGGGCUCCUGUCGGUGUAAAAAAGUAGGGGAUCUCCUUUUGACACCUUUACUUGUGCACGGGCAGUCAGAGCCGCACCCGCGGCCACACUUAACAAGGCAGAGGAGGGAAGCCGGAGAGAAGCCGAAGUACAAGACAACCAAGGCAACGCCAAGACGAGAAGCACUAAAGAGCAGAGGGACGAAGCAGGUUCCCCCGGCAAGACCCUUGCCGGGGCAGCCUCAGCAGCCCCAGCAAGAGCCUUGCCGGGGCAGCUCGCCCAACACCAGCGGGGCGAGCCACCCUUGAGCCCAAGGGUUCCAAACGCCGUUAACAACUACGUUGGAACCAGGGCUCGGGAGGCACCUCCGUGGUGGCAUGCAGAUCUUUGUCAAGAUCAUAAAUACACGAGAUCAGAUGAGGACCAGAAGACGGCGACCCUCGGUGGGAUCCUAGCCGAGGAAAUCCACAAGACCCCCNNNNNNNNNNNNNNNNNNNNNNNNNNNNNNNNNNNNNNNNNNNNNNNNNNNNNNNNNNNNNNNNNNNNNNNNNNNNNNNNNNNNNNNNNNNNNNNNNNNNNNNNNNNNNNNNNNNNNNNNNNNNNNNNNNNNNNNNNNNNNNNNNNNNNNNNNNNNNNNNNNNNNNNNNNNNNNNNNNNNNNNNNNNNNNNNNNNNNNNNNNNNNNNNNNNNNNNNNNNNNNNNNNNNNNNNNNNNNNNNNNNNNNNNNNNNNNNNNNNNNNNNNNNNNNNNNNNNNNNNNNNNNNNNNNNNNNNNNNNNNNNNACCCUUGCCGAGCGCAUCAGCAGGGCCACAGCCAUGCCCGCGUCAACCAAGACUCCACCGCCCCCAUGCAGCUGCUAGCUCAACCAGCCGGGCAGGCACCUGCGUGGCGACGAGCGACCUCUACACCGACCCAGCAAGCACCUGCGUGGUGGCAUGCAGAUCUUCGUGAAGGCUCCACCACCGCGCCACCCCAGCUGCCUGCCUGCCUACAUGGCACCGCACGCAUCGCGGGUCCGGACCCGUGUCGAAGCAAGGCGGGGCGGCGACGGAUGGGACAGGCCCCAUUCCCGUCCCCGAUAAAGCAAGGGGACACCUAAGCGAUGCAUAAAAUGUGUUUUGUCCCGUAAUGUCGGGCGAUAAGCUCGCGCACUAUACGCCUUUCCACCUCCUGUGUGCCACUGUGGCGACCCCUCUUUCCUAUAAAAGGAGGCCCGUGGCGACCAGGAGAAGGAUUCGGCUCUUUGGAACUACGCAGCCACCGUAGCUAGUUCGAGAGCUCAAGAACACUAUGAAAUACACACCAAAGCAGGACUAGGGUAUUACGCAUCCUCGCGGCCCGAACCUGGGUAAACGAUCUUUGUGCUAGCUCCUAAACCUGCUCUUCUCACAACCCUGCGCCCACCAACCGUAGAAGGGAUUCCAAUGAUCCCAUAGGUGUCGUUUUCCCCGACAAACUGAAGAAGAUGAUUAUUUAUAGGGGCUUCGGAAUUACUCCAGGAGGAUGUGAAGAGGUUAAAACAAUGUGAAUGCAGUGUGGUUUGGAUGCAAAUGAAGAUCAAGGAGUAGUGAAGAAGCCGAGGAAAAUCGGUUCCCGGUGGAGAAGUAAAUGGGAGAAGUGGCCUGUAGGCAGUUGAUUAGACGGCUAGGUAGACUAAACGAAAAGGCUACGCGGGUAGAUUGAGGAGUGGGGCCUGUCCCUGUACGUGCCCAUCCUUCCAGCGCUACAUGUGCCACUGGCUAGUUGAGGUCACUCUUACGAAUCACCGUGGCGAGACAUUUUAUGAUUCCUUUUUAUUUCUGCACCCCUCCUGACAGGUGGGACCUACGCAAACGGAUAAAAAAUGUGUCGUAGCUGGUUCGUAUGGAUAUUGGCGCGUGCGUGGGAGACACAACAUUCUCUAGUUAAGGAAUAUGCGGUUAUCCUCAAAAAAGAAAAGUCAAUCUUCGCGCUUCCGCAUGCACGAGAAUUUGGUUCUACUCGCAAUAUGGAUGAUACCUGGAGGAUGAAGUGAACCCAGAGGCAUGCUAGCAUGGGAGUACUACUCAUGUUCCUACUACUCCUACUAGUAGUAGUACAAAUGUGGUAAACUUGAUGGUCAAAAUACUAUUAUUCAUCCGGUCCUCACAGUGAAGUGACAAGACCCUGCGCUCGAGGUGACACCAGUCCAGGCAACGUGUCCGGGUUACCAAAGUCAGCCUCACCUUGUGCACUGUGCAGUCACUGUCACCGUCAUUGUAUAGCAUGCCUUGCCUCGUCUCCCUCUCCCCUAGCACCACUCCAUCUCCAUCUCCGUCUCGCCGGAGAUCCUGACAUCACUCUUCAUCAUCUCACUGUGCCCCCGCGUACCCUCGCCUCGCUCGCCUCCCCCAGUACCACUAUUCCCUCGCUAGCCGCUCCAGCACCGAGAGCCUUCUCCCCGUAAAUCAAGCCCCCCAAAACCCCACCUUCCAAACUCCACCAUGGCCGAACGUGAACCGUGCAGCAUCCAUAUGAGCCUCGAUUGGAGCAAUCUCCCCAGUGAUGUCCUCGACCUCUGUUGUUCGUAUAUGGAUAUGUUGAGCACCCUGCGGCUGGUUGCAUGCUCGAGGGGCAUGCACAUGGCCAUCGUCGAAGCAAGGCCUAAGCUUUUCAAGACACCCUGCUUGCUGCUAUCUGGUCUUGCGAGAUUUGCUCGCCAUGAUACAGAGGCGUACAUGAUGGCCCUCGACUUCAAUCCGACCUCCAUUAGCCGAAACUUCUUUGCUGGUAUGUAGUGGUCCACCGUACAUCAUUUCCCUCGACUUCGAUCCGAUCACCAUCGCCCAAAACUUCUUGCAGGUAUGUACUGGGUCGGCAUGAACUCCCACUGGAUGGCUGCCGUCAGAGAAGACGGGGAAAGUUGGUGCUCGUCAACUUCCAGACCUCCCAUGAGAUUAUCCUUCCUCCGUUGGAUGAUAUAGAGUUUUACCUUCAUGGUCCAAGUCGUCUAGAUUACGUCGUUAGUUGGACGCACCUUGUUUUGCAGAAGAUUGUAAUCUGCCAAGUGCACACACGACAUGCGGAUUACGCAGACUUCAAGCUAAUUGCGUUCUUCGACAAGGGACUCGCCUAUCUUUCCUCCGGUGCCUUCUUUAGCUGGAGACAGCUCAGCUCGCACUGGAUCGUCAUUAAAGCUGAUACACACUUCUGUGAUGCUAUUGAACACAAUGGCAUCAUCUACGUGAUCGACAAAGCAGAUGGCACCACGUAUUGCUGGGACGGCGCGUGUAAGUUGUUUCCUUUGAUGUUAAUGAUGACGCCAUGACACUGCUUGAAUUUUUUGUGAUGAUUGACAUAUCCCUGUUUGAGCAGAAUUUGAGUAGAACUAUGGCAAUGUAUUAGAGACGCCGUAAAUCAGCUAUAUUUGGAAUGAGUUAAUUCAUGCGAUUGUGACCAUGUCAUUACAGCCAAUUUAUACCCCUGAAUAAUCAAACUGUUAGGAAGAUAUUGAUAUUCUCCUUAUUUUAUAGUAAUCUAUAUACUACUAAAUAUGAGUGUGUAUCAAUGGCCAUGUUAGUUUCCUCAUUUUCAUGAUGUAGAAACAUGCAUCACACUGUUGAUUUCAUCUAACCAUACAUUAGGGAAGUAAAUGUGCAUAUGGAGAACUCUAUAUUUUGAAGUAGUGAAAUCCUGUAAUGCUUACCAUGUGUACAUACCUAUGUUCGCCCUUCAGCAAUCAAUAGCUAGAAUAAUAUGCUCACAAAAAUUUUGCCCACAGAACAUGAGUAUAUAACAAUGCAUGGUCUGUUAGUUUCCUUGAAGAAUUUGUUUGUGAGGACAGAACAAGAUUACAUAACAUGCAUGACAUGGUAGUUUCCUGUGAUGAAUCGAUUGUGAGAUAACAUGAGUAUAACCAUGCAUGGCACUUCUAUAUUUUCGAACCCGGUAUGCAUUUCCCUGUAUUUUCCUCCCAGUUCCAACAGGGACAUAUCAAUGUUGUUUCUUGCAUUAUCCUACUCAUACUCUGAACAAUGUUGAUCUUACAUUAACAAUGCCUGUCCUUUUUGAUAUGAUGCAGUGUCCCUACAGUCACUGCCCUUUGGAAUCACACCACCUUUGCCAAAAAUAGGAAAGCACAACUGGUUCCUCGCUCGAUCAGAGGACGGCAAAAGACUGAUGAUCAUUUGGACACAUGAGCCGGAAAAGUUAUAUUGCAAAAACCCCACUGUAUGCAAGCACCGUGAAAUACGUGAGUAUCCGAACAGUGGCUGUUACGUCUAUGAGCAGGAUACCAGCUUGUUGGGGCCAGCAGGAUUUUUGAGUUGGAGGCGGGUAAACAGCCUUGGUUCAUACUCUCUGUUUCUCGGACCCAAUUAUCCGAUUAACCAGGAGAUCACCGUUGGCAAGGACGUUGAUGGCAGAGAGGCUCUAUUUUCUAUGGAAAACGGUGUCUCAAUGGCGAGCCCUAGGAGUUCGGGAGCAAACUCCCCUGAUUGUCAAUGAUACAGCCUGCAGCCAAAAGAGGGUGAGAAUGACAAAGGCAUCUGGAUUAACUUUGAUCCUUGGAUGUGUCGAGUCCGACAGGCAAUGAUGUGGUUCAAGCCUUCGGGUUGAUAGGUAAUUCGGCUGUUGCGUCAAAAGGGUGGAGUACUGGUGUCUCCGGAUCAUUGGUGGCUGAACCGGGGCUGCAAAUUAUGAUGGUUUUGGAUCAUCCCUCUUUGAAUGACUUGUUGUCUUUGCUGCUUGUUCUGGAUGGGUAGUUCUCUCUUUUGUUAUGCAUAUUCCAUGUCAUUUGUUCAUCCUCGUCUAUGUCACUCUUACUAUGUAAUAGUUGCCUCUAUUUAGAAUGUCAUUCUCGUCUGGAUCACGAGAGUUUGAGCACUGCAGAUGGGUGUGUUUUGGUGGUGUAGUAAGACUUCUUAUGAACUAUCAUGUCUUGUUGUUUAUGUCAGUAGUAGUCACUACUCAGUGUUUGAAUGUUGUAUAUAUCGUUGUUUCAAACUUUUUAUUGUCUCGAACUGCUGGUGGGCUAAAUGAGGGCAUCACCAUUCUCCAGUGUUCAGAGUAUAUCUCCUUUUUUCAAGUUAUAAUUUGAGCUCAGUGUCUUUUAGAUGAUGUACACUUGUUUGGGACAGUGAGGUGUCGUUGAAUAUGGGCCGAGUAGUAACGCAAUGCCAAAUAGGUCAAUUAUGACACUUAGGCCGGGCUCUCAAAAGAUCCUCAAAAAAAGGUCAGGUUCUCAAAAAAAGAAAGAAUAGGGACUCUUAGGCUGACAUGUGGGCGCCACCGGUGUUUUCGUGCGCUUGCGCGCUGAGAGCAUAUUGGCACGUGUUCGAAAUUCAUGCUACCUUUUCAUCCCCAAUCAACCGCCCCUCCCCCACCUCUGGAAUCUCGAUUCCUACUCCAGUUCCCCGAAACCCCCCUCCUGUACUCCCUGUACUCAAGCGCACUAUCAUGUCACCGGUCAACGCGGAUCUCCGAGCCAGAGAUCCUGAUGUCCGUCCUGCCUUCGGGUGCUGCGUGUUGUCGCUCAACAGUGGCAUGGCGGCACUUGACGACCAGUUUGCCGGCAAAGUGCUGAUGGUAACCAUCAACGGUGAUCGGCCUCCCGUCUCGCCGGACGACCUUGUCAAAGCUCUUGGCAUUGCGCACGGCAUCCAAAUAGGUGACUUGCUCGUCGAAGUCUGUCCGCCACCGGCUGAUUUCUUCGACAGGUUCAGGACAACUUUCGACUGCAGUCGUGUGUUCGAAUCUUCCCGGCGUAUGUUCUGCGAUGGCGCGCUGGUGAACUUUGAUCGGUGGCACCCAGGAUGGGGCUCGGGGCCCUCUGAGCUUGAGUUUUUAACAAAGCUUACCUUCCAUGGCAUGCCUCGACGUGCUUGGACCAGCGAGUCCAUGAAUGAGCUUAUCAACGACCUUGGAGGUGAGCUCGUAAGUAUGUGUGUUCCUCCAGACAGCUGGGCUCUGACGGUUAUGGCAUGGAUGAAGAAGCCGUCCACCAUACCGAAGGUAAUUGGUGUUGAGAUACCGGUGCAGGAACCGGGGUUGUACUAUUCGUCGCCACCAAGGCCGCCGCGGACCACGUUAGGGAUGUACCUGUAUCGAGUGUUCGUGCAUGUCGAAGAAGUGGUCGAUCCAUCAAUCGAAGUCCUGCCGCCACCGCUGUUGCCCGGGUCCGUCGACGACAUCCAUUACAGGAGUCAACAUCAGACUUUCCCCGUAUUGCUCGGAACGAUGGAUGGCACAGGGCCUACUCCAUCGCGCGGGGGAGGCCACUUCUUCUUUGCGAGAAGAGGCGGGGCUGGCUGCCUGGAUGUGCUCUAAUUUGAGGUAACAACUGAAUCUUGUCAGAUGACCUGUUCUAUUUUUUUACUUAAACUUUUUUUAGAAAGGGAUGUACGUCAACUUAAUGUUCUAGCAGAACUUAUAUAUUGUGUUGUCUGUCUGUUUUCUUUGCACAGCAUUCAAGAUAUUUCCCCGUCAUUGAUAAAGACGAUGAAUCGUUAUGUACGAGUUCGGUGGUUUCAACAUAGCCCUACCUGUAGCGAUCCACUGCUUCCACCCUGAUUGUGCCGCCUGCGUGAAAUAUUUGUAUGCAUGUUCAGUGUGCUAUGAUGUUUUAUAUGAUUGUGUCAACUAUAUAAGUUUUUACUGAGCAUCAUCAAUGCAUAUGGCUGAAAGAUGUAUUUAUGAGCAUCGACCGAUGGGUGUCUCUCUCUCGCACGCACACAUACACACACGCACGCGCACAAGUGGAAACCGUUGAAUUAUUUAUUCGCCUGUGACAGCUUUUAAUUAGGUUCCACUUUACUCUAACUUUUUUCUUAAGUUAUUAACUGAGCUUAGUGGUUUCAAAAAGUUGUACGGAAGCCUUGUUUGGGCCCUUUCGGCGUCGCUGAAUGUGGGCUGAGUAGCCAUGUAAGGUUGUACUGUACUACACGGGCCUUUUUUCAACAUCAGCAAUGCAACUGGGCCGACAGUUGUACAUAAUACGGGUCAACUUAUUAUUCUCCGCCCGCAGGGCUGCAAAUCUUUCCUAGGAGGGAUGCAUUAGGCUUAACAAGAAAAUGGGCUUUAAGAAAUAAUAAAUGGGAUGUAAUUAUAAGAACUGGGCAGUAACUAUAAAAAAUGCACCAAACACGUAAUUAGUUUAUAAAAUAUUACUUUUGGAUUUUGAAAAUUUUAAUUUCAUUAAUUGUUGCACGCGCAAUGUUUCGUUGGAUUUUUACGUAAUACAAAUUUAUAUUGAAAUUGUAUUUAAUCUGACUAGUAAUUUUGGGACAAAAAUAUUUUGGAUCCUAUCAAAAUGUGGGAAAUUUUAUUGAAUUCCGUUUUGAACGGUUGGUUGAAAUUAUUAAUCGUUGUCCUAGCUAGAAAAUGGGUUGUACUUUUAACAAACUACAAAUGGGUUGUAGUAAAUUCCAUUAGAAUUCAAAAAAGGGUAGUGCAUUCUUACAAAUCGCAAAUGGGCUAUAAGUUCUGUGCCACACACUUGUGGGCCUACUAAGUUGACGCAUAUGCAAGGCUUUGUCAACUUAUAGUCAACACACGGUUCUAGCAGCAGUGUCCGUUGGAUGUCCAUCCAACGGAUGUCGUGCUUCUUCUUCAAUCUCGGAUAUUCUAGCUUCAGCCACCCAAAAAAUGGUUCCUCCCCCUGACAUCUGGGGCGCACCAUUUUGGGAGGCUGACCUGUGGGCCUACUAAGUUGACGCGUACCAAGGGCUUUGUCAACUUAGUCAAUAUGAACGAUUCUAGCUCCAGUGACCGUACGAUGUCCAUCCAACGGCCAUAGUGCUUCUUCAACCUCUGGUCUUCUCGCUCCAGCCGCCCAAAGCAACGCCGGUCGUGCCGCCUGCUCAUGCCUCCCAUGGGCGGUUGUGCUACCGCGGAGGCCUCACCGCCCCCUACUACUCCCACCGCUGGCCAGGCCAUCCCUCCACUCACCCACACCCCCUGUUAUUCUGCAGUGAUGGCAGCCUCACACUGAAGCCGAACCAGUGAACCCUGGUACUCCUCUCCGCGUGGGCAUCCACUGCCCCGUCUUCCCCGGCUCCGCGUCGUCCCCUUCCUAGGCCUCGCCGUCGUCCACUGCCCUGGUGCUCUCGGCGCGGCGUGGUCAAUGUGGUCAAGGAACGACUUCCAUCGGAAGAGUACUAUACGUGGAGGGGCUGACAGCUGGGUCCAUGGCCACAGCAAGGAAGUGCCUCCUUAUUACGCGGAAAAUAAUGAUUCCUCCACCUGACAGCAGGGACCCACCGGACGGGCCACCGUAUUUCAUGAUAAAACUGUUUCCCUCCUGACUGCUGGGACCCACCAGCUACAUCUUCCCACGCAAGGAAGUGCGUCCAUAUUACGGGCAAAAAAAUGAUUCGCCCCCCUCACUGCUGGGACCCACCAGCUACAUCUUCGCACGCAAGGAAGUGCCUGACAGUCGGGACCCACCCGGUCGAAGCGUACGUAGCGUUGUCAUUCUGGUCACAAACGUGUACGUACAUACUAGUCGAUCGGUCUGUCUACAGGCUGCAGCGAUGAACCGUGGCCGUGUAAGGAAGGGCACGUGUGGUAGUAGAGGCGCGCAUGUAGCAUGUACACAUACAUACAGCGGCUAGGGUGCAAGAAAGUAAAUACGGCCACGUACGUACAUAUGGGCGUGGUCUCGAACGCCUACUCGCGCAUACGUACGGCCAGGGCUUGUGUACAUGGUUGUAGCUGGGUCGGAACGGAGAAACUGCGUCAUCGUCGUGUUCAUGGGGAGGCAACGGAAUGCGUCGUGUUCAUCGGGAGGCAACGGAACGCGUGUUGUUCAUCAGGAGCCAACCGGCUUGGAUGGAAGGCAAUGGAAACGAGGCCUGGCGUACCGCAGAAUGGAGGAAACGGCCUUGUGUUCGACCGGCCACGGUGGAAACGGGUUCCCGUUCAUUGGGAGGGGUCUGGCGUACCACAAAACGGAGGAAACGGACCUCCUACGGUCAAAUCGGGGUCCUGUUGAUCGGGAGGGGUGUGGCAUCCGCAAAACGAAGGAAACGGACUUGUGUUGCAGCGCUACGGUCGAAACGGGGGUCCUGUUCAUCGGGAGGGGUGUGGCCUACCGCAAAACGGGACUCCACGGGAUAAUGUUCAUCUCCACCGUCGACCUCCUCCAGCCUCCACGGCUACUGUUCAUCCACCGUCGACCUCCUCCAGCCUCCACCUGCGACUGCUCAUCCACGGGCUCCUGUUCAUCCAGCCUCCACCGGCUACUGUUCAACCAGCCCUCUCCACGGGGUCCUGUUCAACCACCCCUCCACGGGCUACUGUUCAUCCAGCCCUCCACUGGCUACUGUUCAACCAGCCCUCCACCGGCUACUGUUCAACCAGCCCUCCACCGGCUACUGUUCAACCAGCCCUCCACGGGGUCCUGUUCAUCCAGCCCUCCACGGGGUCCUGUUCAUCCACCGGCUCGAUCGAUCGGGGUACUGUUCAUCCGGCGGCAACGGCCUCUACUACCAUGGGUUCCUGCUCAUCCAACCCCACCGGGAACUGUUCAUCCAAACCCCCCAACAACGCUCACUGUUCAUCCAGAAGCAGCGUCGAUCGGCUUCAGUUAGCAGCAGUAGCGAACGAAUCGCUCGAUCGAGUUCAGUUAACAGCCAUCGAUCACUCGGGUUCCGUAACGUGUAGCCAGCAGUGCAAUCGCUCGGGUUCAGUUAGAGCCCAACGCCUCGCUCGGGUUCAGUUAGAGCGCAACGCCUCGCACACACGCGCGUACGUACGAGAGAAACACGCAUCGCUCGGCCCCCGACCACCCACCGUAACCGGGAACUCCCUCGAUAUUUUCCUCGCCCUUGGUUCUACCAUGGUUUUCUCCGUCACGGAUGGCCCAAAGAACGUUAUGCUGCUGCGUCUCCGGCCCGCCCAGGACGGAAAGCCCAUUUUCUAUCAUGACUUUUUGUCAUAGAAGUAGGACCCCACCACAUCUAUGAUGAUACUGGGUUUUGUCACAAUUAUUGUCAUAGAACUGUCAUAAGUAUGACAGAAAAAAAAUUUGUUCGGCCCAAAAUGUCACGGAUGUGUCUUUUUUUGUAGUGGUUCCAUGUUUCCAUUGACUGUUAUGACGCCCCGUGGUCCGGGCAUCUUGAGCUUGAGAUAAGCAUAGUGUGGGACUGCAUUGAAACGGGCGAAGGCGGUUUGUCCGAGCAGUGAAUGAUAGCCAUUGCGGAAGGGGAUGAUGUCGAAGAUCAAGUCUUCGCUUCGGAAGUUGUCCGGCGAACCGAAGACUACGUCCAGCAUUAUGGAUCCUGUACAACAGGCCUCGACGCCGGGUAUAACUCCUUUGAAGGUGGUUUUAGUGGGCUUGAUUCUUGAUGGAUCAAUACCCAUUUUACGGACAGUGUCCUGAUAAAGCAGGUUAAGGUUGCUGCUGUCGUCCAUAAGGACUCGCGUGAGGUGGAAUCCGUCGAUAAUUGGAUCGAGGACCAAUGCUGCCGAACCUCCAUGACGGAUACUGGUCAGAUGGCCUCUGCGAUCAAAAGUGAUCGGAUAGGCUGACCAUGGGUUAAGUUUUGGGGCGACUGGCUCUAUGGCAUAGACGUCCCUUAAUGCGCGCUUGCGCUCCCGCUUAGGGAUAUGGGUAACGUAGAUCAUAUUCACCGUUUUUACCUCGGGGGGGAAAUUUCUUCUGUCCCCCUAUGUUCCGUGGGCGAGGUUCUUCAUCGUCGUCCUCGCUGGGCGGCCCUUUCCCCUUGUGUUCGGUAUUUAACUUCCCGACCUGUUUAAAGACCCAACAAUUUCUGUUGGUUUGAUUAGCAGGCUUGUCAGGGGUGCCAUGAAUCUGUUAGGGCCAGUCGAGUAUUCUGUCCAAACUGGAUGGACCAUCUUUGUUUCCUUUGAAUGGCUUCUUCCGCUGACCGGGUUUAGAGCCACUGAAUCCGGCGUUGACCGUCGUAUCUUCAGUAUUUUCAUUGUUGCUUCGGCGCUUAUGUUUGUUGCGUCAUGGCCUACCGUUGCCGUCUCUGGCUUCGGAGGUGCCGGGGUCGCUGGUGCUGUUGCUUCUAUGAGCUAGCCGGCUAUCCUCUCCUGCGCAAAAGUAGGUCAUAAGAGCGGUGAGAGCUUCCAUGGACUUAGGUUUUUCUUGGCCGAGGUGUCGGGCAAGCCACUCGUCACAGACGCUGUGUUUAAAGUCCGCGAGGGCUUCGGUGUCUGGACAAUCGAUAAUUUGGUUCUUUUUAAUUAAGAACCUAGUCCAGAGUUUCCGGGUUGACUCUCUGGGUUGCUAGACUAUGUGACUGAGGUCAUCGGUGUCUGGGAGCCGAACAUAGGUACCUUGGAAGUUGUCUCUAAAGGCAUCUUCCAAAUCUUCCCAGCUACCAAUAGAGCUUUCUGGGAGGCUGUUUAACCAGUGUCGUGCCGGUCCCUUGAGUUUUAGGGGGAGGUACUUGAUGGCAUGGAGAUCGUCACCGCGAGCCAUGUGAAUGUGGAGAAGAAAAUCUUCGAUCCAUACUGCAGGAUCCGUCGUACCAUCGUAUGAUUCAAUGUUCACAGGUUUAAUCCCUUCUGGGAACUGGUGCUCCAUUACCUCAUCGGUGAAGCAUAAGGGGUGUGCGGCGCCUCUGUAUCGGGCGACGUCACAGCGCAGUUCGAAUGAAGUCCGUAUGCGGUUUUCGGCCCGGGUGAGGUUGUGCCUGUCGCGCCAGGCCUGAUGGCCGUCUUCUCGUGUUGGGGCACGCCCCCUUGAUCCAUAGAUUGAUCUGGCUUGGCCUGCUCUAUUUUCCAGGUCCUGCCGUAAGUCGUAGGUGUAUCCUGGAGCCGUUGUCUCUCUGCCUCUACAGCGAGGUGGUGCGGGUUGGUAUUUCGCAUAGGUGGCCGCUUUAUCUCGUCCACGUGGUGGCCGGUCUGGUUCAUCAGCAUGGUCAUGUCUUGACGGUAUGGGCUCGAUGGCCUCGUUGUCAAAUUGUGGUAAUAGCCGACGCUUCGGAUAACUCUUUGUUGGGCGUUGAAGGCCGUACUUUUUGGCAGCCAGGACCUGGGUCCAUCUGUUGUUGAGUGUAUCUUGUUCGGCUUGGAGCUGUUGUUGCUUCAUUUUUAGGCUUCUCGCAGUGGCGAUUAGCUGGCGCUUAAAGCGCUCCUGCUCGAGUGGUUCCUCUGGCACGAUGAAGUCUUCGUCGCCGAGGCUCACAUCAUCCUCAGAGAUUGGUAGAUAGUUAGUAUCCUCCGAGUCCUCGUUCCCGACUCGAUCAUCGGGAUUAACUUGCCCAUCCUCCCAAUCAUCCUGUUCGGAUGUUGGCUCGACGGGGGCUUCGGGGUCUUCGGCGUUCUCCAGGGUGUUAUUGUCUCAGGUGUCAGUAUUACUGUCUUUUUCGCGACGCGAUUUUGAGCGGCACCGCUGACGUCGACGCUUUGGAGGUGCCUCAGCAGGCUUGUCCUCAACCGGAUCCUUCCUGCCGUCGUCGUCAUCCUCUUUGGGUGUGUCCACCAUAUACACGUCAUAUGUGGAGGUGGUCGUCCAGCGUCCGGUGAUCGGCGGGUCUUGGCCUUGUUCGUCUCCGGCAACAUCAUCCGUGCCGUCGAUGUCUUCGGAGGCGUAGUCCAGCAUGUCGGUUAAAUCUUCGACAGUGGCUAUGAAGUGGGUGGUGGGUGGGACAUAAAAUUACCCGCUCUCAGCCCCUAGUCCGGGCAAGGCGUAGUUCGUAAGUGAUUCCUCUGUAAUGGCGAGGGAUCGUAUUAAGUCCAGAGCCUCGUUUAAGAGCGAGGUUUGGACGGGGAAACGAGAGUCUGCGGGGCUGGCUGGGGCAAAGGCCUCCUGGCCAUGCUUGCUUGGCGCGGACUUUGAGAGUUUGGAUCUAGAGUCUGGGGGCGAGUCCAGCCUUUCAAUGCUAGGGGGACCCCGGUUUGAUUUCGAGCUCGCCGUGGACACAAUUGCCUCCCGAUCCUCGAUAAUGCGGUUGGCAGCAGAGAGUCCGGUGGGCUCCAAACUCCCAUCUUCGGACCUGAUGGUUUGCUCCAGAUCUAAGGCCAGGGCAGUGUUCGGGGCCGCGAACCCUUCAAAGAUCAAGUCUCCUCGGAUAUCAGCAACAUAGUUUAGGUUUCCAAAACUGAUCUGAUGACCAGGGGCGUAGCUGUCGAUCUUCUCAAGGUGGCCAAUCGAGUUAGCACGCAGCGCGAAGCCGUCAAAUACAAAAAUUUGGCCGGGGAGGAAAAUCUCCACUGAAACAGCAUCAUUGUAGAUGAUCGAGAGCCAUCGAACCUUCUGUCGACAGCACAGUGGAACUCUCAAUGAAAGCACCAAUGUCGGUGUCAAAACCAGCCGAUCUUGGGUAGGGGGUCCCGAACUAUGCGUCUGAGGAUUGAAGGUAAUAGGAGGCAGGGGACACGAUGUUUACCCAGGUUCGGGCCCUCUUAAUGGAGGUAAUACCCUACUUCCUGCUUGAUUGACUUUGAUGAGUAUAAGAGUUACAACAGUCGAUCUACCUCGAGAUCGUAAUGGCUAAACCCUAGAUGUCUAGCUUGUAUGAUUUGUCAUAGCUACCGGUUUAUAUAGACACCAGAGGGGCCUAGGGUUGUACAGAGUCGGUUUGCAGAGAAAGGAAACUAGACAUCCGGACGCCAAGCUUGCCAUCCACGUAAAGGAGAGUCCCAGCCGGACAUGAGGGGAGGCCUUCUAUCUUGUAUCUUCACGACCCAUCAGUCCGGCCCAUGUCAAAUAGGUCGGAUGCCCGAGGACCCCAUAAUCCAGGACUCCCUCAAUUAUGUGGUCCUCGUGUGUCCGGGCUGUGUGAUAUGGUCCGGACUGAUGGGCCGUCAAGAUGCAAGGUAGAAGGCCUUCCCCCGUGUCCGGAUAGGACUCUCCUUUACGUGGAUGGCAAGUUUGGCAUCCAGCUGUAUAGUUUCCUUCCUCUGUAAACCGACUCUAUACAACCCUAGGCCCCUCUGGUGUCUAUAUACACCGGAGGGUUUAGUCCGUAGAGGCUAUUAGAAUUCAUAUAGGCUAGACAUCUAGCCUUUAGCCAUUACGAUCUCGAGGUAGAUCAACUCUUGUAACCCCUAUACUCAUCAAAGUCAAUCAAGCAGGAAGUAGGGUUUUACCUCCAUUAAGAGGGCCCGAACCUGGGUAAACAUCGUGUCCCCUUUGUCUCCUGUUACCUUCGAUCCUCAGACGCACAGUUCGGGACCCCCUAUCCUUGGGCCUCCUUGAACCUUCUUCAUGCUAAGCCGCUAAUGGUAUAACCCGGCCCCUCCUGGGCGGGUUACAUCUCGGAGUUAUAUCCCCAACAAGUAGUUUGAUAGCAAGAUAAUUUGUAACGAGCAAUUAACGGUAAUAGUAACAAAAGUGCAGCAAGGUAGCCCAAUCCUUUUGAGGCAAAGGACGGGCCAAAAUGGUCUCUUAUGAUAAGCAAAGCGUUCUUGAGGGUACACGGGAAUUUCAUCCAGUCACUUUCAUCAUGUUGGUUCGAUUUGUGUUUGCUACUUCGAUAAUUUGAUAUGUGGGUGGACCGGUGCUUAGGUGCUAUUCUCACUUGAACAAACCUCCUACUUAUGAUUAACCCCCUCGCAAGCAUCCGCAACUAUGAGAAAAGUAUUAAGAAUAAAUUCUAACCAUAGCAUUAAACUUUUGGAUCCAAAUCAGUCCCUUACGGAAUAGCGCAUAAAUUAGUGUUUAAGCUUGUGUCACUCUUGCAACCCAUCAUCUAAUAACUACUCCACAAUGCAUUCCCUUAGGCCCAAAUAUUUUCGAGAUUAAAACCUUCCAGACGGUAGAUAUUUUCGAGAUUACGAGGCAGUAAUAUUUUCGAGAUUGCAAGGGAUGCAGAGGCGGGAGUUUUUGGGGAGCGAGCUAGUGUGCUUGACACGCCGGUUGUGGACUGUAGCCAAGCACCUUCUUGCGUAAGCCAUAGGCGUACUAUACACCGACGGUGCUCCAAGAUAUUUUGUACUACAUCUCACACGGUUGGUGAUAAUAAACUUUGUGGGAUCUACUUGAUUUCAAUUACAAAAUGGGGUCACAGCGGCCAUGGACGUUGUUUGAAUUGCUAGACCUCUUAUCUGUAGUGAACAUGCAACUAUAUGUGUGUCGUAAAAGAAAUGGAAUUAUUCAGGGUUUGUUUGGACAUUUUAUACAUUAAACUGAUUUUCUAGCCAUUUCAGGUGCACAAUUCAAAAUUAAACUACAUGCACAUGCUCCGGUGCAUACAAAUUGGUUGAAAAAUCACAUAUGUGUCCUUCAGUGCAUGCUUAGGUCCCAUGCAAGAAAUGGGAAUGAAUUUUUCGGGGUUCGUUUGGCCUUUUUUAUAAAUUAACUGGGUUUUCUAGGCAUUUUAUGUCAAUAAUUCAAAUUUGAACUACAAGCACAUGCUCCAAUGCACCAAAGUUGGUUGAAAAAUCACAUGUGUGUCCUUGGGUGCAUGCUUAGGUCCCAUGCAAGAGAUGGGAAUGAAUUUCAAACACCAGGGCACUGUUGAUUGCCGACAAAACAUUGAGAUACCUGGUUUAUAAAUUCUAGUAAUCCAAAACUCGUCUGAAAUUCAUGAAACUUGGCAUGCUAUCAUGGAGCGGCAUCAACAUGCCGUGGUGAAAAUUUUGUCCCAUUUGGGGCAGGUUUGGGUAUAAGCUUCUCAGAAACUAGUGCUUCUCACAACAAGCAUGAUGGUUUCGGUAGGGAACGUACCACCUUUGGGGACGGAACGAUAUUCGUUGCCUCUUAUUGCUUUCAAAAAUUUCUAGUGUCAACAUAGAACAACAGGAGUGUUGUGUUUAAUCUUGGAUUUUUUUCGGGGUUCGUUUGGCCUUUUUUACACAUUAACUGGGUUUUUUAGGCAUUUUAUGUGCAUAAUUCAAAUUUGAACUACAAGCACAUGCUCCACUACACUAAAGUUGGUUAAAAAAAUCACAUGUGUGUCCUUGGGUGAAUUUCUAGGUCCCAUGCAAGAGAUGAAAAUGAAAUUCAAACACCAGGGCACUGUUGAUUGCCAGCAAAAUGUUGAGACACCUGGUUUUUAAAUUCUAGUAAAUCCAAAACUCGUCUGAAAUUCAUGAAACUUGGCAUGCUAUCAUGGAGCGGUAUCAACAUGCCGUGGUAAAAAAUUGUCCCAUUUGGGGCAGGUUCGGGUAUAAGCUUCUCACAAACCAAAGCUUCUCACAACAAGCAUGAUGGUUUCGAUAGGGAACGUCCCACCUUUGGGGACGAAACGAUAUCCAUUGCCUCUUAUUGCUUUCAAAUUUUUUCUCGUGUCAACAUAGAACAACAGGAGUGUUGUGUCAAUUUUUGUGAUUUUUCGGGGUUCGUUUGGAAUUUUUAUGCAUUAACUGAGUUUUUAAUGCAUUUAUGUGCAUAAUUCAAAUUUCAACUACAUGCACUUGCUCUAGUGCAUAUAAAUUGGUUGAAAAAUCAAAUAUGUGUCCUUGGGUGCAUGCUUAGGUCCCAUGCAAGAAAUGGGAAUUAAUUUCAAACACCAGGGCACCGUUGAUUCCUGGCAAAACAUUGAGAUGCCUGGUUUUAAAUUCUAGUAAAUCCAAAACUCGUCUGAAAUUCAUGAAAUUUGGCAUGCUAUUAUGGAGCGGCAUCAACAUGACGUGGUAAAAAUUUGUCCCAUUUUGGGCAGGUUUGGGUAUAUGCUUCUCACAAACCAGAGCUUCUCACAACAAGCCUGGUGGUUUCGGUAGGGAACGUCCCACCUUUGGGGACGAAACGAUAUCCAUUGCCUCUUAUUGCUUUCAAAAAAUUUCUCGUGUCAACAUACAACAACAGGAGUGUUAUGUCAAUUUUUGGGAUUUUCCUGGGUUCGUUGGGACAUUUUUAUGCAUUAACUGAGUUUUCAAUUCAUUUAUGUGCAUAAUUCAAAUUUGAACUACGUACAUGCACAUGCUCCAGUGCAUAUAAAUUGGUUGAAAAAUCAAAUCUGUGUCCUUGGGUGCAUGCUUAGGUCUCAUGCAAGAAAUGGGAAUGAACUUUUCGGGGUUCGUUUGGCCUUUUUUAUACAUUAACUGGGUUUUCUAGGCAUUUUAUGAGCAUAAUUCAAAUUUGAACUACAAGCACAUGCUCCAAUGCACCAAAGUUGGUUGAAAAAUCACAUGUGUGUCCUUGGGUGCUUGCUUAGGUCCCAUGCAAGAGAUGGGAAUGAAUUUCAAAUACCAGGGCCCUGUUGAUUGCGGGCAAAACAUUGAGAUACCUGGUUUUUAAAUUCUAGUAAAUCAAAAACUCGUCUGAAAUUCAGGAAACUUGGCAUGCUAUCAUGGAGCGGCAUCAACAUGUUGUGGUUAAAAUUUUGUCCCAUUUGGGGCAGGUUUGGGUAUAAGCUUCUCACAAACCAGAGCUUCUCACAACAAGCUUGAUGGUUUCGAUAGGGAACUUCCCACCUUUGGGGACGAAACGAUAUCCAUUGCCUCUUAUUGCUUUCAAAUUUUUUUCUCGUGUCAACAUAGAACAACAGGUGUGUUGGGUUUUAAUUUUGGAAUUUUUCGGGGUUCGUUUGGACAUUUUUAUAUAUUAACUGGGUUUUCCAGGCAUUUUAUGUGCAUAAUUCAAAUUUGAACAUCAUGCACAUGCUCUAGUGCAUAUAAAUUGGCUGAAAAAUCAAAUAUGUGUCCUUGGGGUGCAUGCUUAGGUCCCAUGCAAGAAAUGGGAAUAAAUUUCAAACACCAGGGCACCGUUGAUUGCCGGCAAAACAUUGAGAUGCCAGGUUUUUAAAUUCUAGUAAAUCCAAAACUCGUCUGAAAUUCAUGAAACUUGGCAUGCUAUCAUGGAGUGGCAUCAGCAUGUCGUGGUAAAAAAAAUUGUCUCAUUUGGGGCAGGUUUGGGUAUAUGCUUCUCACAACAAGCCUGAUGGUUUCGGUAGGGAACAUCCCACCUUUAGGGACGAAACGAUAUCCAUUGCCUCUUAUUGCUUUCAAAAAAAUUCUCGUGUCAACAUAGGAUAACAGGACUGUUGUGUCAAUUUUUGUGAUUUUAUGGGGUUUGUUUGGACAUUUUUAUGCAUUAACUGAGUUUUCAAUGCAUUUAUGUGCAUAAUUCAAAUUUGAACUACAUGCACAUGCUCUAGUGCAUAUAAAUUGGUUGAAAAAUCAAAUUUGUGUCCUUGCGUGCAUGCUUAGGUCCCAUGCAAGAAAUGGGAAUGAAUUUCAAACACCAGGGCACCGUUGAUUGCCGGCAAAACAUUGAGAUGCCUGGUUUUUAAAUUCUAGUAAAUCCAAAACUCGUUUGAAAUUCAUGAAACUUGGCAUGCUAUCAUGGAAUGGCACCCGACAUGUUGUGGUAUUUUUCGUGUCCAUUUUGAGAGAAGGCGCACUCGAAUAAUGAUAGCCAACAAAGGCAUUUUGAAAAAAUAGCUGCCACUUUAAUAUCUCAAACUUUUGUAUAAUUCAAACCGUGUGCGUUCUGUUAACCAUUCACGUGACGCCACAUGUCUUGGUUUUAAUGGCUAUAGGAGGUGUCGUGCGGACAGCUGCUUGACCUUGACUGAACGGGCGGCGUGCGAGCGCAGUUUGGUGCGCAGGCUGACCGAGAGGCGUGCAAGCUGCCCUCCAAUGCGUAGGCUCACCGGGAAGCGUGCGAGCUGUACGCUGCGCAGGCUCACUGGGAAGCAAGCCCUUUGACUUCCAUGGCCGCCCGCCUUCCUCUCCAUUAAUGGCGUCCGAGCUGCUGUUUAAUACGGGCGGCCUUACUGUUCGCCUCCCAUUCCCCUCCCUCCCGCAGACCUCCACCAAAGCCAUGGCGCAGAAUGAUCAUCUGCCACUAAUCUUCAAGUUUGGUUAAGUCGACUCCGAGCCGGAGGAGAUAGAAAAUAAGGAGGAAUGGGGCCUCAUGGACAUGGCCCAGAACGAGUUCGCCGCGGCGGUUGCUGCCCCCGCUCCCGUCCCAGCUCCCAUCCCCCCGCCCGCGUCAGCGACCAUCCCCGUAGCAUUGACGGGCUGGUCGCCAAGCACUAUCGCAGAGCUGGAACCGGCGGGCGUCUGCGAGGCCUCCACGGACCCGCGCGAGCUCGUGUACAUGGCAACGCCCAUGCCCGUGCCCGUGCGCGCCCCUCCACCCACCGUGGCGUCGGCCCCCGUGCGUUUGGCUGCACCUGCCGCGCCCGUGCCCCUGCCCGUGCGCGCCCCUCCACCCACCGAGGCGCCGGUCCCCGUGCAUUUGGCUGCACCCGCCGCGCUCGUGCCCGUGCUUGUGUGCGCGCUCCCCUCAGCAGCAUGGGACGCUGCCGUCGACUGCUACCUCUCAGCGGCGCCAGUUGCCGUCCUCCCGCGCCCCGCCCGUCGAUCGCGCGACGACAUGAUGUUUGAUUUACAAGUGAAGAACAUUUUGUGUUGCCUUGAAGACUUUAACAACGGCGUCCCGGAGGACGACAACGACAACGACGGCGCGGCACACCACCUCCGCCGCCGCCGGAAAUAGUUUUUUGGGGGUUUAAUACUGUAUCUCGAAUUCUCGAUCAUAUGAAUAUGAAUUCGAAGUGUGACUGAAUGAAAGAUAUGGUUUGAACGAACUUGCGUUUUUCUCUCUUAAUGUACAAACUUAUCAAACAAUUUUCCUUUGAAAAAACGUCAAUGGUUUUUAAAUAUAAAACACUCAUCGCAAACAUUUUAGUUAGAACACCCGUAUGCAAACCGACAGCUUCCCCAGGAAGCCAAGGGAAAAUGUGUCGAGCAGGAUUUCUGCAUCCCUUCAACGCAAACGGUUGUUUUGCAUGACCUGUGUGCUACCACGUACAAACAAUUGGGUAAGAUUUGCAUAUCUGUCAUUUUGGGUAUGUUGCCAUUUUUCAAACUGGAAAGAUUGACAUUUGUUUAUCUAGUAACAUUGCCAUUUGUCAACCUUGUAACAGUGCGAUUUGUCAAAAUAUGCAACUAAAAAUCACUAGCACUAUCUAAUUUUUCCAACUAAAAUCACUAGCAUUGUUCAUAUGGACACCACUAGCAGGCGUGAGUUGAUGGACGCAUAUGCAAAUGUACCAUUGAUUACAUAUAACAAGUCAUCAACCCACAACGACAACGAGGAUACACGUUGGAUUAUAGAUCAUUUCCAACAAAACAUUCUAGUAAAGUAAAGUUUUUCUCACACAACAAAUAACAAAGCGAUGAAAUGAACUUCAGCUCAACCACUCGUCGGCGUUGGAAAUGCUUGCUUUGAACCAGAAGUGAUUCUCUGGGAAGGGCCAGCUACUGUCAAUCUCGAGACCAACGCAGGACUGAUCAUCCAGGCUGAAGCGGCCUAUGUCAGGACCCAUAUUGGGAUGGUAGGGAAGCAUAGCAAUGUCCGAGGUAUAGAUACAAGUGCUUCUCAUAAAUGGUAGUAACGUUGUGUCGACAGCAUCUGGAUCGCCUUCCACCAUCAUUGGAUAGUUUUGUCCAAGGAAGAGGGAGUUUCCUCCAAGACUUCCAAUACUGAACCAAGGAGAAGGUGUUGGCGCUAGUACACUAGUAUCCAUCCCGAAUACCCUGCAACAGAUGUUGGUAUAGUUCCGGAGAGUGCGACCAUGCGAGACAACACCUGCUUCCUUAGUAACAUCAGCAGUGCCCUGUAUACAGAUAAGAAGAAGUGAUCCAUCGGAAUAAGUUGCCAGGCGCCACUGAGUAUAUGGGUCCUGCUCAUGAUCAUCUCCCCCUUGGUUAUAAAAAUUUUCAAGUAGAGGUGGUGGAAUGUUCACAGGACCUUGGAAACACAAGAAGGUUAAUUAGUAAAGGGAAACUACCUAACCCGCAUGCAUGUGGAUGAAACAAUUAUAGUUACGAUGGAAGACAAACGUACCGAAAGCAUCAGGAUUCCAUGCAAAAACAAUGCCACGAGUGGUGGCAGAAAACACAAGACCCUCGUAUUGAAUUGCAUCACAGUACUCAUCUGUGUACAGAAAUUGAUUUUUGAGCAAUAUCCAUCGAGGCAUGGAAGUAAGGACGGCAACAAUCUUGUCGAGGAUAGCAACAACUUCAAAGUUCGUGUAAUCCCAAGAGCAGUUGGGAACUCGACAAAUUGCUAUCUUCCGUAGACGACAGUCGCCAUGAUCGUAUUUGAAAUCACGUAGAAUACCGGUGUACUCAACCUCUGGGCAGUCGUUUGAGAUUUUUGGAAGUGGAACCCAGUGACGAGUGUACACAUUCACAAGUUCCCACUCGCAGUUGUACCCAAUAUAAACAACCCAAUCUCCAUUUGCGCCUGCCCAAGCCUUGCCCUCAAGCGAUGGCAUCUUAACAUCAUACGUAUCAUUGUCAAGCGACAUCAACUUGCACAAGGCGAGGCUUCCCUCGUCCCCACGCCAAUCAGCAGGGUCACGGCUAAGAAGAUAGGGGAGAUCAAACCACUCCUGGACCCUUGGGUUCCUUGUAAUGAUGUUAUUAGUUGAGUCGAGAAUGGUCUUGAACGAACCUGCCAUGCUAGCUGAGGUGAUGACGUCGCGCCGAUCAAUGAGUUCCUCCACCAUGUCAUCUUUCAGAUCGGGGCAAGAAUAACGGGUCGUUCCCGGCCUGUUCCCUCCAUGGAGAAGAUGAUCGAACAAUGGCAGAAGGAAGGGUGAAGGCAAAUGGAGGGAGGAAGAGCGUGCGACAGCAGUUCCAAAUUGACAGGUGCAACAAGACCGAGACCAGCAGGACGGUAGGACGGAGGUCACCGUGGAGCCCAAGACGGCGUCACCACCAGAGCCUUUGGUAGGCGAAGACCACCUUUAGUCAGGAUAACUUGUACUAGUUGUCUCCCUUCGAAUUAGGCCGUUGUGGGAUCCCUUCCCGCUCAAUAUUUGGGAAGAGAACCACGGCCUCUAUAAAUAGGACUAGCCACCACCAUAGACAGGGAGACAGACCCAGUUCAUCCUCAACCACACAAGUUCGCGAAGCACAAGAACAUCUCUCCUCGGGAGGCUGUUCUUCCCUUGUAACUAUUCAUCCUCAGCCCAAGAGGCAAUCCACCACACCACACUGGAGUAGGGUAUUACACCACAUCGGUGGCCCGAACCAGUAUAACUCUUGUGUCUCCUUGCUCUUUGGGUUCGACGCGCUAGGCCUGAUGAUCGUUGCGAGAGCGAGCUAGGGGGAGGGAGAGAUCUUUGUGCGCACCCCAGUGUUUGAACCUCAAGGGUUUUGCCGGAACCCAAAAUCUGACAGAUUCGACAUGUUUGGUUUUGAUGACUACAUCAUCUACAUAUGCCUCCACCGUCUUGCCAAUUUGUUUUUCCAGGCAUGUUUGAAUCAUGCGUUGGUAAGUGGCGCUGGCGUUUUUUAGUCCGAAAGGCAUAGUGUUGAAGCAGAAAGGCCCAUACGGAGUAAUGAAUGCCAUUGCAGCCUGGUCGGAUUCCUUCAUAUUAAUUUGAUGGUAUCCGGAGUAUGCGUCGAGGAAGCACAGUGAAUCAUGUCUUGUAGUUGCAUCAAUGAUUUGGUCAAUGCGGGCAGUGGGAAGGGGUCCUCAGGGCAGGCCUUGUUGAGAUCUUUGAAAUCGACACAAAGGCACCAGGAUUUGUCCUUCUUUGGCACCAUGACCAGGUUUGCUAGCCAGUCCGGGUGUUCGAUCUCUCUGAUGAACCCGGCCUCAAGUAUUUUGGCUAGCUCCUCCCCCAUAGCUUGUCGCUUGGGUUCGGAAAAUCGUCGCAACGUUUGCUUCACUGGCUUGAACCCCUUUAUUAUUUUGAGGCUGUUCGGCCAGCCUGCAUGGGAUUCCCGGCAUAUCCGAAGGAUGCCAAGCAAAGAUGUCCCAAUUCUCGUGCAUGAAUGCUCUUAGAGCGGCGUCGACUGUCAGAUCUAGCUGUGCUCCAAUGGCUGCUGUUUUAUUAGGAUCCGUCGGAUGAACUUGAAAUUUGACUAUUUCGUCUGCUGGCUUGAAAGAAGUGGACUUAGACCUCUUAUCAAGGAUUACAUCAUCUCUGUCCGCUAUGGAACACAGAGCGGUGAGCUCCUCGGCCGCAAGGGCCUCGAAUAAUGCCUCAAGGGCCAGGGAUGUGGUUUUUUUGGUGCAGAGUGCUAUGUCCGGAUCACUGGUGAUAGUGAUAACUUCUUUGAGCCCGGGCAUUUUGAGCUUCAUGUACCCGUAAUGGGGUAUGGCUUGAAAGCAUGUGAAUAAGUCUCACCCCAACAGGGCGUGAUAUCCGUUGUUAAAAGGUGCCACGUGGAAGAUUAACUCUUCGGACCUGUAGUUCUCGUGUGCCGAAUACCACAUCUUGUUUAAUUUUCCUUGAACAUCGUGCUUCUCGACUGGGGAUAAUGCCUCGAAUGGUUGUGCUGCUCUGCUUGAUGCGGCUCUUGUCCAUUUGGAUUUUGUCGAGCGUGUCCUCGUAGAUGAGGUUCAGUCUGCUGCCGCCGUCCAUGAGCACUUUAGUGAGCCAAAAGCCACCCACGAUUGGGUUUAGGACCAAAGCGGCAGGUGCUCGGACUGAACGGGCCCUUGAUUCAUCAUUGGCAUUGAAAGUUAUCACCGUAUCGUUCCAAGAUUUUAUUGCGGCUACUUGGUUGACUUCGGUGAGGUCGUGGAGUGCCCUUUUGCGCCAAUUAUUUGAAGAAAAGGUCUCGAACACCGUAAAUACAUUGAUAUCGUCAUCCCCCGUCGAGUACUUCUCUGGGGUAGUGCUGGUGAGGAUAGCCUCACCGCUCUUAGCCACCUGCCAGAGUACCCAACAUGCCCGAAGGCUAUGUAUUGGUUCUGAAUUCGGCGUCGCGUGUAUCUGGCACGGCUUGUCGAGCCGUUCAUCAAGGAAAGUUCUGUCUCCCGUUAAGGGUUUAAUUUUCUUGUCCGUGGGAUGAUGAUCAGGUGCCCUGUUAUGGUGCAUCCUUUUUGCCCGUCCGGUGGGUGGCUUAAAGGCGGGAGGUUCCCACCAGGCUGUCUGGGCUUUCCAGGCGCUUUCCAUUGCGCAAUACUUCUGUACUAUGUGUGGCAAAUCUGCAAAGUGCAGUAUGUGAUGGCGGUUGAGGGCAUUGAGGAUCCCCGCGUCCGUACAAUUGUAGCGAAAUACUGAGAUCGCAUCGUUGUCGCAGCAAUCUUUGAUCUUGUUUUUGGCAAGAAGGAAUCUGGCCCAAAAGUGAUGGAUUGUUUCCUGAGGUUGUUGUGACACAUACAUUAGGUCGCAUAUGUCCGGAGGACCGGAAUUGCUUCGAGAAUAUUGCUUGUGGUGGGUGGGCGGGCUUAAAUCCGAACCCUGGCCCACUGUGGGAUCCGGAGUUUGAAGAAUUUCCGAGGUCAACAGACCGGGAUCCGGAGUGCCCUGGGAGUUUUCAGGCUCAACGCAUGUUUCUAUGUUCGGAGGAUAGAGGGUCUCUUCCCGAAGAUGUGUAUCCGGCUCGCAGGGCUCGGAAAUCCGAACAUAGCUUGUUCUCAGCACAGGGGAAGAGGUAUUCUCGGCUUGUUCCUCCACAACCGCUACCCGAUGGGUGAUCGGCGGGACCUGAUUUCCCUCUGAUCGGGUUUAAGCCCGAUCCGAUCGUUGUCUGUUGCGACCCCCAGGGCGGCGAUGCGAUCUUGCAGUUCGUUUAAAGACAAGACAUCUACCGGAUCCAUCUGAUCGGAGUUUUCGAAGCCGAUGCGGAGAUGAUUUUUGGCAAUUUGGGGGACCGCCUUUGGCUUAAUGGCCGAGCGGGCACCCAUGGUAAAACUGCCGAGCUGGAGGAUCUGCCCAGGAACUAGGGCCCUUCUAGAGGUGAUUUUUUCAUUGAUGACAAGGCAAGCCAUCGAUCCUUCUAUUGACGACACAAAGGAACUCUCAAUGAAAGCACCAAUGUCGGUGUCCAAACCGGCCGAUCUCGGGUAGGGGGUCCCGAACUGUGCGUCUGGGGAUCAAAGGUAACAGGAGACAGGGGACAUGUUGUUACCCAGGUUCGGGCCCUCUUAAUGGAGGUAAUACCCUACUUCCUGCUUGAUUGACUUUGAUGAGUAUAGGGGUUACAAGAGUUGAUCUACCUCGAGAUCGUAAUGGCUAAACCCUAUAUGUCUAGCUUGUAUGAUUUGUGAUAGCCCCUACGGACUAACCCCUCCGGUUUAUAUAGACACCAGAGGGGGCUAGGGUUGUACAAAGUCGGUUUACAAAGAAAGUAAACUACACAUCUGGCCGCCAAUCUUGCUAUCCAGGCAAAGGAGAGUCCCAUCCGGACACGGGGGAAGGCCUUCUAUCUUCUAUCUUCACGGCCCAUCAGUCCGGCCCAUGUCACAUAGCCCGGCCACCCGAGGACCCCUUAAUCCAGGACUUCCUCACCAGCAUCAGCAACGCGAGCGAGAGCAAGAGCAGAGCAGCAGAACGAGUGAGGGGGAGAGCACCGCAGCAGCGUGAGCAAACAAGCGAGAGCCGGAGCAGCAGCAGCAGUGCGAGCGAGCCAGCGAGAGCCAGAGCAGUAAAAGCAGAUCCGGCUGGUAUGGACGCCGCCUCGAAGGGGCCUCGCACUGGGGGAGAGCCUCUGGAGAUGUCGCCCGCCCCACCGGCUUCGAGGUAGCCACGCCAUGGGGGUGCGGGAUGGAGCACCGUCGACGCCGGGAGGUCGAGUUAAGGAGAAGGUGUGAUGCGAUGAGUGUACAACCUCUUUGGUGGCGCCGAGUAGGCCUCGGCUUCGUCCGAGGAGUCGGGGAGGAUGUUGUGGUUUCAGUGGAGCAGGUUAAGGCGGCGCUGUGGGGAUGGAGCAGCCGCGAUAGACGAGGUGAUGUCAGAGCAGCUCCUUGGAGGUGGAGGACGGGGCGGCUGAACCGACGGGACGACGAGAUGGACGACGGAUCCUUAUCCGAAGAGGUGGAUGAGGGACGUCGAGCUAUUGCGGUGGACGACGUUGUCGGGCAAGAGGCUCCGGCUGGGCAGCGGUGAGGUGGAGGACAGAGGAGGGUGGGGUUUCACGGCUGGAGCACAGAGGUUAUGGCGGCCUGGGAUUUCGAAUGGCGAAAAGGAGGCGAUGGGAGGGGGAACCAUGACUUAGGGACGCGCUUGUCUAAAAUGUAGGGUGUGUUACAAAAGUAUCCUCAUCGAUUUGAACUAGCGGCCCUUUUGGCUCAGGGUUAGAAGGGGGAUUUCGCGUGUCGAGAUUUGGCUGCUGGAGGGAGUUUUCACGCGCGUUGUAAUUUCAGGAUAGCAAGGCACGGGUUGUGAUGGCGCGAGUUUUGGGAGCACGAUAUCUGAAUUUUCGAGAUAUAACAAGGCGCGGGUUGAAUUUUAGGGACAAGCCUAACGUGUCAUAUUGUACGUACCAAAUCAAUUCGCACUUCCCUCAACGAAAAAAUGAAAAAAAAACUAUUCACACCACACAAAGAGAGAGUCUUGUCCCGUUUUACUGUACAAAUGCUAUUCAAAGCUAUGAAUCCAUGUUAUGUCCAAUUAAAUUUUUUCGCUGGCUGUAUAAUGCAUGUAACCUACUCAUACCAACAUUUUAGUGCAUUCCAAAUGUCUAUACUACCACUGCAAUUCGAACUAAAUUUGAAUUCGUUUCUCUAUUUGAAUAAGAGUCUACAAUCAUGAUUGUUGCCAACUUAAACCAUCAUUCGUGUAUUACCUUAACAACACACCACAUGAUUACUAUAGAGAUAGAUAUGAAUUAUGUGUACUAUAUGAACUCGAAUUCAAAUUUUUGAAUACACUUGAUGUUGAUUCCAAAUAAUAGUACAUUUGAUGUACUAGCUAGAUAUUCAUAAUCCAAACCAUGUUCCAUACGUACACCGUGUUUAUCACACAAAGUAUAGUGCCCCGCCCCCUACAUUAUGACAAGUAUUUAGCCCUGAGCUACAAAAGCCACACAUUAUCCCAAAUUAUAAUCAAUGUUCUAUCCCAAAGUAUGUAGUAUAACAUGUUCAUAACCACACCAUGCGUAUCACCACUAUAUAUAUUCAUUCAUGCAUGUGUCGGUUUAAAACACUAUGAUAUCUUCUUCAAAUAUCCGAAUCCACUUUUUUAUAAUGAAUUAUGAUCUCUGUUCGUCAUUUACACCUUCACGAUCCUCUUCUCUUUGUAGCUAGCUAGCGCUAACUUUCUAUCAUGCAUGCACACGCCCCCCCCCCUCUCACCGUCCCUCAGCGUCCCAUCCAUCGCACACAUUCGUUAUUUCUCUUUAGGUCGUUCACCCAUGGUGUGUGUAGGCCCCCCGGCUCCUUCCUUCUGGCACACACCGGUCGAUAUACCUCUCUAGCCAAGUGUGCCUACCACAAACACACACUUCCCCUCUUCUCUUCUCACUGUCCAUGUCCCCCUAUGUCCAAUACGGUUCCAUGCAGGUGCACACUCCCGCCCCUCUUUUGAUCGAUCUCAUACUCGCACACUCCUCCCCCCUCGACAGUAGGCCUCUCGCACCACCUCCUAGCCGCACCCCUCUCCCCCUAUCCGUCUCUCCAGACCUUAUUUGCUUCUAACACAUGCAUGCAUGUAUACGUACUGAUCUCCCUACAUAUAGCUAGGUCGAUUUUAAUUCUUUUUCCCCACGCACCGAUCUACUUACCUCACUAGUUAUGUCUCUCCCUUUCUCGGACACACGAUGAUUGAUCUUCCAAUGUAGUUACGUUUGCUUACCACAACCAUAUCGUCCCCCUCAUCAUCCUUGCAUACCUCCCGACCCGUCUCUCACAUGCACGUGUAUAGACAGGCAGACAUCCCCUCUCUUAUUGAUAUUGCACUCGUACCCUCCGUUUGUCUAGCAGGCCUCUCCCACCAUUUGUGAGAAGCAACUCCACCACAAACCCUCCGACACUCUACCUUUGUCUUUCUCCCAACCUUAUUCCUCUCCUACACAUAUGCAUGGAUGUCGAUCAAUCUCCCUCAAUACAUAGCUAGGUCUCUCUCCUUCUCCAAACAUAUACUAGUCGAUCUACCUCUCUAUAGUUAGGUCUCUGCCCCCUCCCCCCCCCCCACACACACACACCGAUAGUCGAACAUUGUAGGUAGCUAUCCAUGCCACAGAGAAAAACUGCACCUCUGCCCUCUCACAUUCCAGUAGGCCAGCCGCCCUGUAUCUUUGACAUGGGCAAACAAAAAUUCGAUGGCACUCUUUAUCGAUCGCGCAUCCACACACUUCAUCCCUAUUUUCGAUUCUAUCGAUAUCUCACGCUGAUGAUCCCUCCACUCUCUUCUCGUGGAUCGCUCCCUCUAUAUAUGAUAUAUCCAUGACUCUAUUUCACACACAUUGCAUAUGUUACAUUUUUUGUUUGAGAUAUCAUCGACACAUUGCCUAUGUUUCGCACAAACCAUCUCUCUCACACCCACCCACAUACGUACCUGCACCUAAAGAAGAGGUGCAUGCAUGGCGCACGUACUCACGUCUCGUUCCUGGCCACACCUGCGCGGUUACAUGGUGGAGUUCAUUUCUGUACGAAAAGGCAUCCCAUGUGAUAAUUUGACGUGUGUAGCGGUUGUUUACUCGAAGGAGGGUCGUGUACCAUGCGUAGACAGAACAAAGUUCGACUUGACGCGUUAGUAUUAAAUAAAGUUAUAUAUUCCUCAAUGGCACGUACAGAAUAUAAAACGAUUGUCGUCGGGAAAAAAAGAAAAAUCCGCUCCACUAUAUUUAAUGAAGCAUGCCUGCCGGGGUUUGUCUCUCGUCACACCAUCUCACACUGGUGCGCGUCGGUCCUAAACAAAUGAUUUUUAACCCCUUUCCACAACAGCAUUUGCAACCGUCGCCAAGUGAGUGUGGGCGAUAGGGGGUCCUUCCCACACGACCCAGAAACCGUCGGGGAUAUGCCCUCCUGGCACACACGCUCGACAAAAUGAGGUCGUGUGUGACCGGUGAGCGCUCAAAUACGGAAAUACGUACAGUGGAGCUAAAAAUACAAUUAUACAGGCGAAAUUGUUUUCGGUCACAAGUACAUCCCACACAGUCAGUCCCUGCUAAACGUUUCCGUUCGUAUGUCAAUCCCACACAGUCGCUCCAAGGAAAACGUAUCCGUUCACAGGUACAUCACACACAAUUUUUCCCGUUAAAUCAUUUGCGUUAUUGAAUGUAUCACACACGGUCCAUAGAAGAAACUAUGUGGCAAAGGCUGUCCAUCACACACAGUUUUUAUGUGGUAAACGUUUGCGCAAGCUGGCCUAACGCAAACAGUUUUCAAGAGAAAGUCGUGUGUGAUUGUUCAUUGAUCCAACACGGUUUAUUCCUAGAAAUAUUAGAAUGGUUCCUGCAAUUGCACAAUAAUGUGCUAUUAGAGAAUGGACCAUGCACGUGCUAACCUCGAUUGUAAACCUCAGUGCUUCCCAUUGUUUCCCUGCAACACAUAUAAGGAAGUUAGUCAUCAGGUUAAGUAAGGGUUCGCAUGCUAUCAGUAAAAUAUGUUGAUGAAAAAUAAGCACAUUGCAGAUUCAUCAGAUUAAUUCAAGUCACGCGGAAAACCCAUUUAUCCAAACCAAGCAUGAUUAAGAACUAGGAAAUAUAGCACUUGUAUAUGUUUCUCAUGUAUUAAGUGCAGCCAAAUUCGAUUUAUUCCUCACAUGCACAACAAUACAAAAUUCUACCCACGACAAUUGGACGUCGCAUUGCAGAAUUGAACCAAGCAGUUAACUAAACACCACAACAAAUGAACCAAACAUUAACUGAGCACCACAUUGCACAAUAUAACAUACUCCUAAUAGAAGAUCAGACAGUUAACCAAAUAGUUAACUACAGCCAAUUGUAGCAAUUGUAUUUGUUUCUCAUGUAUUUACUACAGCCAAAUUCAAUUUAUUCCUCACAUGGUAUACAAUAACAGAAUGCACCCACAACAAUUGAACAUCGCAUUCCAGAAUUGAACCAAACAAUUAACUAAACACCACAACACAAAUGAACCAAACAUUAACUGAGCGCCACAUUGCACAAUGUAUAACCAAACCAAGCAUGCUUGACAACUUGUAAAUAUAGCAAUUGUAUUCGUUUCUCAUGUAUUUUGUAAAGAUAAAUUCGAUUUAUUUCCCACAUGGAAGACAAUACAAAAUUGCAGCCUGAAGAAUUGAACAUCACAUUUGCAUAAUUGAACCAAACAGUUAACUGAAUACCACAACUAAUUAACAAAACAGUUAAUUAGUGAGCACCACACUACACGACAUAUAGAACAUAUACACUAGAGCAACAGAUUGCAUGGUAAAAUUAAAUAGCACAAUUCACUAGAAUUUGUGAAGGAAAGGCAGGAGCAGCACACGCAACGGGUAAACUGAGCAUGCUUAAGCGGCGUAGCUAGCAAAUGGCAAGGUGCUCCGCCAAGAUCUAGGGGUCGGUACGAAUGGCAGCCAUCGCGACCUCAUCCGCGCGUGCGGCCGCGAUUUGCUUCUUCGCUGCCAAAUGCUCCUUGAGAUCCUGGCUAUACUGUGUGCACCAUGGCUUAGGGCGGCGCUUAUUUGGUGGAGGGGUUGGUGAUUUGGGUGGAAGGUGUCACGCUUGCUCCGGCGGUCGGGGCAUGUGGGAUGUGGAAGGAGGAGGAGGAUGGGGGUCGGGUGUGGAUUACCUACCUGGAUAGGCGAGGCCGAGCAGCGUGAAGGAGGGUCGCCGGCGAGGAGGCGGCGCUGCAAGCAAGGAGUGAAGGUUUCAACUUGGAAAGGAAGGCGGAAACAGGGGAAAUGUGGCUUUUGGUAAGGGGGAGUGGGUGGGGAGGUAGAUAUUUCCGCGGAAGCUGAAAAUUUGGAAUCGCUUCAGCGAAAAAACUGGCGCGCAAAGUGUCAUCAGACACGGUCCCUUAUUCAGAACUGUGUACGGUAUGUGAACAUCAAAAACGAUUCAGAUAGCUUAACCCGUGUGUGUUGAGUUUGAACGUCAAAAAUUUUGGUUCGAAUUUCCUUGGUUACAGUGGUCAUCCACGUCAUUGCACAAUUUGGGUACACAAAGGAGACUAACUUCUUAAUCGAGCAAGUUCAGCAAUUAAACAGAGCUAGCUGACCUAAACAUUACUCUAACAAAUUAAAGACCGGCUCUCUUAAUUAAACAAAACAAAGAGUACUACUACGGCUGGUGCUCGUCGAUCUCCGCCGCCGCCUCCAUGUCCAGCUUGUGCCCGACGGUCUCCUCGGGAGGGGGCUCCACGGCAUCCAUCGCACCAUACUCGGCAAGCAUCUCGCCAUCCGCGUCCGCCAUCUCUUUGGAAAAGGCCGCCACGAGCUGGGCGUGGGCAGACGCGAUCUGGGCUUGCACGGCUCCGUCAUCGCAAGGUAUACGGCGGAGGAACGGAUGGCUGCUCGAACGCUCUCGGCGAUUUCCAGCUCUUCGGCCGUGGGUUGCCGACCGUUAUUGGAGAAGCUUCAUUCGAUCGUGCGGUGACCGCCAGGAGCUGGGCGUGGGCGGCCUCGACAUGGUCGUGGGCGGCCUCCAUCAGGGCUAAGGCCGCCGCUGCAGAACAGACAGCUGGUGUGCCGCUCUCGCCAGUUGUUAUCCCUGAGCCAGAUGUUGCUGCCGCCACCUGAGAAGCAACAGCGGCCGUUUGGGCUGCCAUGGCUGCCCAAUCGUAGAUUGGGGCCGCGCUCAUGCACCUUGUUUGCAUGCGCAUGGCGGCUGCGGGCGCGCUCUCGCCGGAGUGGGCCACCGAAGUUGCCCGCACGACGCGGGUCCACGUGCCCAUCUUUCACCGGCGACGAUUGAAUAGUGAAAUGAUAUUUGGGGAUCGAGCUAGUGUGCUUGAGACGCCAGCUGUGGACUGUAGCCGACGCACCUUCUCGCAUAAGCCAUAGGCGUACUGUAUAUACACUGACGGUGCUCCAGGAUAUUUUGUGUUGCAUCUCACAUGGUUGGUGAUAAUAAACUGUGUGCGAUCUACUUGAUUUUUCAUCUUGAUUUGAAUUACAUAAUGGGGUCACAGCGGCAAUGGACGGUGUUUGAAUUGCUAGACCUUUUAUCUGGAGUGAACAUGCAACUAUACGUGUGUCGUAAAAGAAUUGGAAUUAUUCAGGGUUCGUUUGAACAUUUUAUACAUCAAAUUGGUUUUCUAGCCAUUUCAGGUGCACAAUUCAAAAUUAAACUACAUGCACAUGCUCCGGUACACCAACAUGGGUUGUAAAGUCAUAUAUGUGUCCAUGGGUUUAUGCUUAUCUCCCAUGCAAGAAAUGGGGAUGAAAUUCAAACACAAUGGCACCGUGGCUCUCCGGCAAAUAUCGACGUACUUGCUUUUGUAAUUCUAGUAAAUCCAAAAUUCAUCCAAAAUUCAUGAAACUUGGCAUGCUAUCAUGGAGCGGCAUCAACAUGCUGUGGUAAAAAUUCUGUCCCAUUUGGGGUAGGUUUGGGUAUAAGCUUCUCAUAAACCAGAGCUUCUCACAACAAGAGUGAUGGUUUCGGUAGGGAACGUUUCACCUUUCUGGACGAAACGAUAUCCGUUGCCUCUUCUCGAUUUCAAAUUUUUUUCCUAGUGUCAACAUAGAACAACAGGAGUGUUGUGUCAAUUUUUGGGAUUUUUCAGGGUUCGCUUGGACAUUUUUAUACAUUAACUGAGUUUUCUAUGCGUUCAUGUGCAUAAUUCAAAUUUGAACUGUGGGCACAUGCUCUAAUGCAUAUAAAUUAGUUGAAAAUUCAAUUCCGUGUCCUUGGUUGCCUGCUUAGGUCCCAUGCAAGAAAUGGGAAUGAAUGUCAAACACCCUGCCACCGUCACUCGGCCACAAACAUUGAGAUACCUAGUUUUUAAAUUCUAGUAAAUCCAAAACUCGUCUGAAAUUCAUGAAACUUGGCAUGCUAUCAUGGAGUGGCAUCAACAUGUCGUGGUAAAAAAUUUGUCCCAUUUGGGGCAGGUUUGGGUAUAUGCUUCUCACAAACCAGAGCUUCUCACAACAAGCAUGAUGGUUUCGGUGGGGAACGUCCCACCUUUGGGGACGAAACGUUAUCCAUUAACUCUUAUUGCUUCCAAAAAAAUUCUCGUGUCAACAUAGAACAACAAAAGUGUUGUGUCAAUUUUUGUGAUUUUUCGGGGUUCGUUUGGACAUUUUUAUGCAUUAACUAGGUUUUUAAUGCAUUUAUGUGCAUAAUUCAAAUUUGACCUACAUGCACAUGCCCCAGUGCAUAUAAAUUGGUUGAAAAAUCAAAUAUGUGUCCUUGGGUGCAUGAUUAGGUCCCAUUCAAGAAAUGGGAAUGAACUUCAAACACCAGGGCACCGUUGAUUGCCGGCCAAACAUUGAGAUGCCUGGUUUUUAAAUUCUAGUAAAUCCAAAACUCGUCUGAAAUUCAAGAAACUUGGCAUUCUCUCAUGGAGCGGCAUCAACAUGUCGUGGUAAAAAUUUUGUCCCAUUUGGGGCAGGUUUGGGUAUAUGCUUCUCACAACAAGCAUGAUGGUUUCGGUAGGGAACGUCCCACCUUUGGGGACGAAACGAUAUCCAUGGCCUCUUAUUGCUUCCUAAAAUUUUCUCGUGUCAUCAUAGAACAACAGGAGUGUUGUGUCAAUUUUUGUGAUUUUUCGGGGUUCGUUUCGACAUUUUUAUGCAUUAACUGAGUUUUCAAUACAUUUAUGUGCAUAAUUCAAAUUUGAACUACAUGCACAUGCUCCAGUGCAUAUAAAUUGGUUGAAAAAUCAAAUUUGUGUCCUUGGGUGCAUGCUUAGGUCUCAUUCAAGAAAUGGGAAUGAAUUUCAAACACCACGGCACCGUUGAUUGCCGGCAAAACAUUGAGAUGCCUGGUUUCUAAAUUCUAGUAAAUCCAUAACUCGUCUGAAAUUCAUGAAACUUGGCAUUCUAUCAUGGAGCGGCAUCAACAUGCCGUGGUAAUUUUUUUGUCCCAUUUGGGGCAGGUUUGGGUAUAUGCUUCUCACGAACCAGAGCUUCUCACAACAAGCAUGAUGGUUUCGGUAGGGAACGUCCCACCUUAGGGGACGAAACGAUAUCCAUUGCUUCUUAUUGCUUCAGAAAUUUGUCUCGUGUCAAUAUAGAACAACAGGAGUGUUGUGUCAAUUUUUGUGACUUUUCGGGGUUCGUUUGGACAUUUUUAUGCAUUAACUGAGUUUUCAAUGCAUUUAUGUGCAUAAUUCAAAUUUGAACUACAUGCACAUGCUCCAGUGCAUAUAAAUUGGUUGAAAAAACAAAUCUGUGUCCUUGGGUGCAUGCUUAGGUCCCAUUCAAGAAAUGGGAAUGAAUUUCAAACACCAGGGCAAAAGAUUGAGAUGCCUGGUUUUUAAAUUCUAGUAAAACCAAAACUCGUCUGAAAUUCAUGAAACUUGGCGUUCUAUCAUGGAGCGGCAUCAACAUGCCGUGGUAAAAAAUUUGUCCCGUUUGGGGCAGGUUUGGGUAUAUGCUUCUCACAAACCAGAGCUUCUCACAACAAGCAUGAUGGUUUCGGUAGGGAACGUCCCACCUUUGGGGACGAAAUGAUAUCCAUUGCCUCUUAUUUCUUCCAAAAAAUUUCUCGUGUCAACGUAGAACAACAGGAGUGUUGUGUCAAUUUUUGUGAUUUUUCGGGGUUCGUUUGGACAUUUUUAUGCAUUAACUGAGUUUUCAAUGCAUUUAUGUGCAUAAUUCAAAUUUGAACUACAUGCACAUGCUCCAGUGCAUAUAAAUUGGUUGAAAAAUCAAAUAUGUGUCCUUGGGUGCAUGCUUAGGUCCCAUUCAAGAAAUGGUAAUGAAUUUCAAACACCAGGGCACCGUUGAUUGCCGGCAAAACAUUGAGAUGCCUGGUUUUUAAAUUCUAGUAAAUCCAAAACUCGUCUGAAAUUCAUGAAACUUGGCAUUCUAUCAUGGAGCGGCAUCAACAUGCCGUGGUAAAAAAUUUGUCCCGUUUGGGGUAGGUUUGGGUAUAUACUUCUCACAAACCAAAGCUUCUCACAACAAGCAUGAUGGUUUCGGUAGGGAAUGUCCCACCUUUGGGGGCGAAACGAUAUCCAUUGCCUCUUAGUGUUUCCAACAUUUUUCUCAUGUCAACAUAGAACAACAGGAGUGUUGUGUCAAUUUUUGUGAUUUUUCGAGGUUCGUUUGGACAUUUUUAUGCAUUAACUGAGUUUUCAAUGCAUUUAUGUGCAUAAUUCAAAUUUGAACUACAUGCACAUGCUCCAAUGCAUAUAAAUUGGUUGAAAGAUCAAAUCUGUGUCCUUGGGCAUGCUUAGGUCCCAUUCAAGAAAUGGGAAUGAAUUUCAAACACCAGGGCACCGUUGAUUGCCGGCAAAACAUUGAGAUGCCUGGUUUUUAAAUUCUAGUAAAUCCAAAACUCGUCUGAAAUUCAUGAAACUUGGCAUUCUAUCAUGGAGCGGCACCCGACAUGCUGUGGUACUUUUCGUGUCCAUUUUGAGAGAAGGCGCACUCGAAUAAUGACAGCCAACAAAGGCAUUUUGAAAAAAUAGCUACCACUUUAAUAUCUCAAACGUUUGUAUAAUUCAAACCGUGUGCGUUCUGUUAACCAUUCACGUGACGCCACGUGUCUUGGUUUUAAUGGCUGUAGGAGGUGCCGUGCGGACAGCUGCUUGACCUUGACUGAACGGGAGGCGUGCGAGCGCCGUCCGGUGCGCAGGCUGGCCGAGAGGCAUGCAAGCUGUCCUCGAAUGCGCAUGCUCGCCAGGAAGCGUGCGAGCUGUACGCUGUGCAGGCUCACUGGGAAGCGAGCCCUUUGACUUCCAUGGCAGCCCGCCUUGCUCACAUCCUCUCCAUUAAUGGCGGCCAAGCCGCAGUUUAAUUCAGUUUUUAAAUAUAAAACACUCAUCGCAAACAUUUUAGUUAGAACACCCGUAUGCAAACCGACAGCUUCCCCAGGAAGCCAAGAGAAAAUGUGCCGAGCAGGAUUUCUGCAGCUCUUGAUCGCAAAUGUUUUAGACAGAACACCCGUAUGCAAAGUGAGAGCAGCGCAGGAUUUGUGCAUCCCUUCAACGCAAACGUUGUUUUGGAUGAUCCGUGUGCAACCACAUACAAACAAUUUGGUAAGAUUUGUAAAUCCUUGUAACACUGUGAUUUGUCAAAAUAUGCAGCUAAAAAUCACUAGCACUAUCUAAUUUUUGCAACUAAAACUCAGUAAUUAAGCAUAGAUUUCAUUCAUAGAUUAAGCAGUCGUUCUUAAUUUAUACAAAUAGUUCAAGUCAACAGCUGAACCGACCAAACUUUUCCCCAAUUGUUGCCAACCACGUACUGAAAUAGCUAGUACAACUAUAUAUACUAGCUAAUUUUAAGUACGUUGUACAGUUCCACCACAUCUAUAGUCAGAUGAACUGAACAAAAUAGCCCCUAAAUACUACUACUACCACCGCGGAGGGGCUUUGUACUAGUUUCGGCUGCCUCUCCUCUGCCGAGCGCGCUCAGGAAAAGGCGGAGGAGGAGGAGCCUACCGCCAAGCUAGGCAACCGCAAUACGGUGCCUCCCGCUGUUGCAGCUUCAGCGACGCUCACCUCAAACGCCCUCUGCCGCUCCAGACGACCCCUCUUGAAGCGGUGGUUCUCCUCGUAGAUCUCCUAAUUCCUCGCCUCUGAGGCGGCAUGUGCUGCGGCCACGGCGGCGGUAAGGCUCGUUGCGUGCUCGACGAGGCGCUCCUCUUCCUCCCGCAGGAACUCGAGUGUAGCGCGCAAGGUUGCUGAUGCACAUGCGGGCAUCCACCUCCGCCUCCCGCCUUCGGGCGGCGGUGGCGGAGCGGGUGAUGACCCCGGCGGGCGACGGUGGGCUGGCGGCCACGGCGGCCGACGACGCGGUGGCGGCCAUGACCACCACCUCCCGCCUUCGGGCGCGGUGGCGGAGCGGGUGAUGGUCACAGUGGCCGGCAGUGGGGUGGCGGCCACGACGGCCACCUCCCGCCUUCGGGCCGUGGUGGCGGAGCGGGUGAUGGCCCUGGCUUUCGACGAUGGUGUGGCGGCAACGGAGGCCGGCAACAGCUGCCGACGGGCAGCGGCGGUGGAGUGUGUGGUGGGUGUUCCGCGCACACCCAACAGGGACGCCACGCGCACUACACUACGUCAGGGACUGCGCUGCCGCCGCGGUGUUGCCUCCCAGCUUGAGUUGUACUCUGAUGACGGCGGAGUGGCAGAGCAACGACGAUGGGCUGGUGCCAUUGGCGAUUGUGGGAGAAGCAGACGAGAUAAGCUAUAGGGAGGGAGGGGAAAAUGCGACGCAGGACUCGCCGGCCGUGAGGGUUUUAUAGCAGGCCAGUAAGCAUUGGGAUUUUGGGGGAUUUCACCGAGUCGGGCGGGAAGCUUGCGCGGGAACCUGCGAGGUUGCGCGGGAAUGGCCUCACCGACGAUUCAUUGGUGCCGCCGUUUGGCCAAAAGAACGCCCCCGCGCACUGCGCAAGCUUGCGCUGUAAGCCGUCUACGGCAGCAGGGUGACAAGACGUGCGAGAGGAGGACGAAAGGCCAUGUACACAUACGAUUAAUAAAAAACGUUUGCGAUUUUAUUACCAACUAUACCACCAUCCUGGUUUAUAAGUAUGAUUUAACUAAUAAAAUACGAAUGCAUGUCGCCAAAGAUUAUAUAGUUGGAUUUGUAUUUGAACAUAGUUUCCAAUUAUAUAAUUUUUAUAACGUGCAUUAACAUUUUGUUGGUUAAAUUUGAGGGCAAAGUAUGCACAGAAUAUAAAGGAGACUAUAGACUAGACGGAGGUGGUAGCACACGGCCGCUCUCUACGCAGCGAUGCAACUGUCGGCCGGCUUGUAGGUGACCAUUUCAUGCGUGUUCAACUGAUCUAUGCAUGUGGUUGCUUGCGGUUCAGGCGGCCGCUGCGCGCUCUGCUCUCGCGUCCCUCCGGGUGCUCUGCUCUCGUCCCUCCACGCAUGCUGCCAGUGUUUGGGGCCGGCGCACGAUCACGCACGUUCAUGUGCAUGCGGUUGUGCUGGGCGCGGCGCGACGAUGCAGUUAUCCGCUACAAAAACUGCCAUGCGGACGCGCCGAGAAUCCACGCCGCCCGGCCCCCUUUUAUUCCUGCGGCCAUCUCUCGUCUCAAAUGACACAAUAAGCACAUCCACGAGGACACAUACAGAGAGGACAUCCAGCGGUUCCAAUGGCGCUCCCCAUGGCUCCAAUGGCGCUCCCAGCAGCCGACGACGACAACGGCUUGCAGUUCACCACGCAACACGUCGUGGACACCCACAUGAGGUGGAAGGAUCUCUUGGUGGUGUACACGCACGAUCCGAUCUUGGUGGAGAGCUCCAUCCAAACUAUGGAGUAGUUCAUUGCCGAGGACAAGUACCAAGUGGUCGGCUUCGACCUCAAGUACACCAUGGGUCGUGCCGGGCAUGAUCAGAAGGUUGCCUUCACCCAGUUGUGCGUGCGACAUGACGUCCUCGUCUACCACUACCACCUGGCCACAAUGCCUUGCCAGCGUUUCUCCAGGUUUAUCAAUAGCUCCGACUAUAGUUUCUCUGCGGUGGACACCACCAACGAUCUAAAAGCGCUCGAGGUUUCGGGCUUGAAAUGCCCAAAUCUUGUCAACAUCCAGCGCCACUACAAGGUCUGGGGCAGCGACAAAAACAAACUGAACUCCCUGGUUGACUUCGCCUUGGCCAUCAUCGACCCCUACUACACGAAGAUGGAGGAAGAGAGCAAUAAGGACAAGAACGCCUGGCACAGAGUGUGGCAUGAGAGACUGGAUGAACAACAUGUCAAGUACGCGGCCAUGGACGCGUACACAAGCUACGAGAUGUACAGGCGGAUCAUUGACAUGAGUAAAUGUCUUCUUCCUGACCCAGACGAGGGAUCGAGCCACAUAGCAGUGGCGGGAGCGUCACAAGAAGUAGAUGACUAGACGAUCGUUUCUCCUACUUUAGAAUGCAUGCAAUUGUUUAUUGAGGUGUGUGUGAAUGAUAUGUAUAGUCACUUAUGUAAUUGGAUGUUUAUUUCAGUUAUAUAUAUAUACAUGUUAUUCUACUAUAGACAGAGCAAAUCACACGGCUUAUUAGCAGCAAUCGUCUGUGUUAUUAUCGGUCUUCGCACACAUUUCUUAUUACGGACCUGUUUGCCGCGUAUAACACACAUCUUGUUCAGUUGAACCAUUUCCAUUGUGUUGCCUAAUCACACACAGUUCAUCCCAGUGAACUGUAUGCUGUAUAUCGCACACGCCUUCAUCUAGCUGCCUGUUUCUUUUGUUCCUCCUCAUCCCGAACAGUUAAUUGAGCUGAACCGUAUGCCCUGCAUCGCACAUGGAACUAAAUUCUGAACCAUGUUUGAUGCAUCCGUCAUCGCAAACGUUUUGCACCUUUUUGACGGUUUUUUACACCACCGUUUGCGAUUAUGGCAUCGCACACAGUUUCGUCGAAGGGUCUCUCAUCGUAGUGUCGCGUUUGGGCCAUCCUGCAGUAGUGUCACACAAGGCGGCGGUGGCCUCUCUCUUUCAUCGUUGGUCAUUGAUCUGGCCGCAUCUCGUCCGCCGAUGGAAAGGGAGGAUGUGCAUCGUUUCUCCGUUCGACAGCGUUGAGGCAGCACGUCUCGAUCUGCGGUACCCGCUGUUCUCUCUGACCAAGCUCCGGCGUGGUAGGGCCUUCGCCACUUGCUCGCUGCCGCAGUAUGGGCAGAUCCCGGCCGCCGGCGCCCUCCUAGUUACAUCCCGACGACCCUCGGGUACAGCUUCCUCCGGCCUUGCUCCACUGCCCAUCUCCCCACGUUGCUGCACGUGGAAAAUCAUACAUGUGGAUCUUGUUUAGUUGUUUGCUUAAAACGUAUCUCGGUCGGCGUACUUUCCGUCUUGCAAUCUCGUCCUCAAACCGUUUUUGAUAAACCACCAUGAUGUUAUCUUUCCCUUAUUACAUGGAAUAUGCUUCUUUUUUGUCGGUGUAUGUGUCUUCAACUCGUGUUAUUGGGCAGUAAUUGUUUCCUUUCUACCUGCUUUUGCAAACAGGGCUAUCCAUUUCACCUCGUUGCUAUUGUGACCUUUUGGUGAACUACACAAAGCACUUUUUUCUUAAGAGUGUUUUGUGCAGUUCGGCCAAAAUGUCACACGGGCAACUUUUUACAUUUUUGUGGGACAGCAGAAAGGGAGAUUGGUUUUGCUAUCCUCCUCAUCCAAGUCUGUGCCUAAUCUUCUCCAACAAGUAGCUAGUCCUAAAGAGAGAUUGCAGUGGUGAUCGGCUUCUAUUUGUGUGUGUUAUGUUUCAUCAUCUAGUUCCACUAUUAUUGUAAUCACACUGGCUGAAUAUCUUUGCAAACAGGGAUGAUCAGCUCGAUUUUAGUGGAGCUGCACAAAAUGAUCGGAUUGUGAUGUCCCCCAUACACCUCUUUCUUGGCUAUAGAGCUGGGUGAAACUAGCUGCCAACCAAUGAACAUUGUGCCCAGGAAAUGGAGCCAUGCCUACGAACAGCAUCGAUCAAUUAUAUUUUUUUAUUUGUACACCUUCUCACAACUUUGUCUUCAGUUGUGAUGUGAAUAUUGGCGCUGAUCUGCGAACCAUUGAGAUGCAUUAGCAGCCAUGGUAAUUUCAUUUGUAUUUGAUGGAAUGUUGUAACGAGACAAUCUUGAGGCAAUAGGACACAUGAAUCCUAAGUUGAAACCUUUUUUCCUGCGGGAACCAAAGUUGAAACCUUCAUAGCAUCACAGUACAAUUUCAUUAUGCUGGAAAAUUAUGCGUACAUAUAAACAAAUCCUAAAGGAUUGAUAGCAAUGCCAGAAACAAUUCAACUUUGUUUCGCCGACAUGUGGGACAUCCUUCAUCCGGCUCCACCUGCCAUGUAGCAAUAUUGAGUGCACAACUGCAGGGAAGAUUCACCCGGUCAUUGCGUCGCAGUAAUAAUUACUAGUGACAAGUCAAAUCACAGAACCCCACCUUCGCCACAGUAAGUUGCUCGGACGAAGCAACCAUCAUUUCUCUCUUCGUUCAAUCUGCUGGUACUCCAAUAUUCCCAGAGUAAUAAGUUGCUCGGGCGAAGCAACCAUCACUUCACCUUUCCCACAGUAAGUACUACCUCCUCUUUUUUAUUCUAGAAACAACCACACGCGAAUAUUGGACAGUAGCAGCACAGCAACUGAAUCAAAAAUUGAAACCAACCAAUGAACUACUACUAUUGGUCAGCGUUUGCUAGUAUCAUGUACUCCGUCUGUCCAUGUAUAUAGGGCUUAAUGCGUUUUCCGAGACUAACUUUGGCCCUGUUUGGAUCCAUGGAUUAGAGUUAGUUUAAGCUAGUUGGGGCUCAAAUAGCCCUGAAGUAUCCAAACAUGAGGGUUAAAUUGGAGCAAGUUGCACCAAACCCACCAAAAAAACUAUCCCACCCAAUAGGUGCUAAUUGGAGACAGUUCUCAUGGGCCUCACUGGAAAAUCACUUUUCUCUCUCUAUCCCGCCAGCCAAGUUGUGCUAAUUGGAGCUAGUUCUCAUGGGGCCCACUGAAAAAUCACUUUUCUCUCUCCAUCAAGUGCAUUUAUUGUCAAUCUAACUCUGUCAUCCAAACACUUGUUUGGCUAGAGUUAGUUCAGGGUUAGCCAUGAAUUAGUCUAAACUCUAGCUAAGUUAGAGUAUCCAAACAGGAGCAGUAUAGGACAUGCAAGUUUCUCAAAGCGUGGGCUGGCCAUGUACGAUGUAACUACAUUGGGUUGCCAUGUUUCGGACUCUUCUGGUCUACUGUGGAGUGUUGGAAAUAUGCCCUAGAGGCAAUAAUAAAAUGGUUAUUACUGUAUUUCCUUGUUCAUGAUAAUUAUCUAUUGUUCAUGCUAUAAUUGUAUUAACUGGAAAUCGUAAUACAUGUGUGAAUACAUAGACCACAACAUGUCCCUAGUAAGCCUCUAGUUGACUAGCUCGUUGAUCAAUAGAUGGUUAUGGUUUCCUGACCAUGGACAUUGGAUGUCAUUGGUAACGGGAUCACAUCAUUAGGAGAAUGAUGUGAUGGACAAGACCCAAUCCUAAGCAUAGCACAAGAUCGUGUAGUUCGUUUGCUAGAGCUUUUCUAGUGUCAAGUAUCAUUUCCUUAUACCAUGAGAUUGUGCAACUCCCGGAUACCAUAGGAGUGCUUUGGGUGUAUCAAACGUCACAACGUAACUGGGUGACUAUAAAGGUGCACUACAGGUAUCUCUGAAAGUGUCUGUUGGGUUGGCACGAAUCGAGACUGGGAUUUGUCACUCCGUAUGACGGAGAGGUAUCUCUGGGCCCACUCGGUAAUGCAUCAUCAUAAUGAGCUCAACGUGACUAAGGAGUUAGCCACAGGAUCAUGCGUUACGGAACGAGUAAAAAGACUUGCCGGUAACAAGAUUAAACGAGGUAUGGGGAUACCAACGAUCGAAUCUCGGGCAAGUAACAUACCGAUAGACAAAGGGAAUUGAAUACGGGAUUGAUUGAAUCCCCGACAUCGUGGUUCAUCCGAUGAGAUCAUCGUGGAACAUGUGGGAGCCAACAUGGGUAUCCAUAUCCCGCUGUUGGUUAUUGGCCGGAGAACGUCUCGGUCAUGUCUGCAUGGUUCUCGAACCCGUAGGAUCUACACACUUAAGGUUCGGUGACGCUAGAGUUGUUAUGGGAAAUAGUAUGUGGUUACCGAAGGUUGUUCGAAGUCCCGAAUGAGAUCCUGGACGUGACGAGGAACUCCGGAAUGGUCCGGAGGUGAAGAUCGAUAUAUUGGACGAAGGGUAUUGGAGUCCAGAAUUGUUCUGGGAGUACCGGGUGACGACCAGCGUGACCGAAAGGUGUUUCGGAGGCCCCGACAAGCGUUGGGGGGCCUUAUGGGCCAAGGGGAGGGGGCACAUCAGCCCACUAAGGGGCUGUGCGCCCCUCCCACCCCAUCUCAUGUAACGUGGAGAGGUGGGGGCGCCUCCCCUAGGGCAGCCACCCCUCCCGGCUUGGGGGGCAAGUUUCCUAGGGGUGGGGGCGCCCAAACCCAUCUAGGGUUUCCCCUGUGGCCGCCACCCCUCCCCUAGGGAACCCUAGGGUGCCAACUCCACCCCCUUCCCCCUAUGUAUAGUGAGGGAGAGAGAGAGGGCAGCCGCACCCCUUCCCUGGCGCAGCCCCUCCCUCCUCCAACUCUUCCUUCUCCUCCGUAGAGCUUAGCGAAGCCCUGCAGGAAUACCACAAGCUCCACCACCACGCCGUCGUGCUGCCGGAGUUCUCCCUCAACUUCUCCUCUCCCCUUGCUGGAUCAAGAAGGAGGAGACGUCCCUGGGUUGUACGUGUGUUGAAUGCGGAGGCGCCGUCCGUUCAGCGCUAGAUCGGAUCUUCCGCGAUUUGAAUCGCCGCGAGUACGACUCAUCCAACCGCGUUCUUGUAACGCUUCCGCUUAGCGAUCUUCAAGGGUAUGAAGAUGCACUCCCUCUCUCUCUCGUUGCUAGCAUCUCCUAGAUUGAUCUUGGUGACAUGUAGGAAUUUUUUUGAAUUAUUACUACGUUCCCCAACAGUGGCAUCAUGAGCUAGGUCUAUGCGUAGAUUCUAUGCACGAGUAGAACACAAAGUAGUUGUGGGUGAUGAUUUGUUCAAUUUGCUUGCCGUUACUAGUCUUAUCUUGAUUCGACGGCAUUCUGGGAUGAAGCGGCCCGGACCGACCUUACAUGUACACUUACAUGAGACAGGUUCCACCGACUGACAUGCACUUGAUGCAUAAGGUGGCUAGCGGGUGUCUGUCUCUCCCACUUUAGUCGGAUCGGAUUCGAUGAAGAGGGUCCUUAUGAAGGGUAAAUAGCAAUUGGCAUAUCACCGUUGUGGCUUUUGCGUAGGUAAGAAACUUUCUUGCUAGAAACCCAUAGCAGCCACUUAAAACAUGCAACAACAAUUAGAGGACGUCUAACUUGUUUUUGCAGGGUAUGCUAUGUGAUGUGAUAUGGCCAAAAGGAUGUGACGAAUUACAUAUAUGUGAUGUAUGAGAUUGAUCAUGUUCUUGUAAUAGGAAUCACGACUUGCAUGUCGAUGAGUAUGACAACUGGCAGGAGCCAUAGGAGUUGUCUUAAUUUAUUGUAUGACCUGCGUGUCAAUGAAAAAUGCCAUGUAAUUACUUUACUUUAUUGCUAACCGUUAGCCAUAGUAGUAGAAGUAGUAGUUGGCGAGACAACUUCAUGAAGACACGAUGAUGGAGAUCAUGAUGAUGGAGAUCAUGGUGUCAUGCCGGUGACGAAGGUGAUCAUGCCGCGCCUCGAAGAUGGAGAUCAAAAGGCGCAAGAUGAUAUUGGCCAUAUCAUGUCACUUUAUGAUUUGCAUGUGAUGUUUGUCAUGUUUACAUCUUAUUUUGCUUAGAACGACGGUAGCAUAAAUAAGAUGAUCCCUCGCUAAAAUUUCAAGAAAGUGUUCCCCCUAACUGUGCACCGUUGCGAAGGUUCGUUGUUUCGAAGCACCACGUGAUGAUCGGGUGUGAUAGAUUCUAACGUUCGCAUACAACGGGUGUAAGCCAGAUUUACACAUGCGAAACACUUAGGUUGACUUGACGAGCCUAGCAUGUACAGACAUGGCCUCGGAACACAAGAGACCGAAAGGUCGAACAUGAGUCGUAUAGUAGAUACGAUCAACAUGAAGAUGUUCACCGAUGAUGACUAGUCCGUCUCACGUGAUGAUCGGACACGGCCUAGUUGACUCGGAUCAUGUAUCACUUAGAUGACUAGAGGGAUGUCUAUCUAAGUGGGAGUUCAUUAAAUAAUCAGAUGAACUUAAUUAUCAUGAACAUAGUCAAAAGGUCUUUGCAAAUUAUGUCGUAGCUUACGCUUUAGUUCUACUGUUUAAGAUAUGUUCCUAGAGAAAAUUUAGUUGAAAGUUGAUAGUAGAAAUUAUGCGGACUGGGUCCGUAAACUGAGGAUUAUCCUCAUUGCUGCACAGAAGGCUUAUGUCCUUAAUGCACCGCUCGGUGUGCAGAACCUCGAGCGUCGUCUGUAGAUGUUGCGAAACAUCUGACAUACACGUUUUGAUGACUACGUGAUAGUUCAGUGUGUAAUGCUAACGGUUUAGAAUUGUGGCACCAAAGACGGUUUUGAAAUGUCGCAGAACAUAUGAGAUGUUCCAAAGACUGAAAUUGGGAUUUCAGACUAGUGCCCACGUCAAGAGGUAUGAGACCUCUGACAAGUUUCUUAAGCCUGCAAACUAAGGGAGAAAAGCUCAAUCGUUGAACAUGUGCUCAGAUUGUUUGAGUACUACAAUCGCUUGAAUCGAGUGGGAGUUAAUCUUCCAGAUGAGAUAGUGAUGGUUCUCCAUAGUCACUGCAACCAAGCUAUUAAAGCUUCGUGAUGAACUAUAACAUAUCAGGGAUAGACAUGAUGAUCCUUGAGUAACUCGCGAUGUUUGACACCGCGAAAGUAGAAAUCAAGUAGGAGCAUCAAUUGUUGAUGGUUAGUAAAACCACUAGUUUCAAGAAGGGCAAGGGAAAGAAGGGAUACUUCAUGAAACGGCAAAUCAGUUGCUGCUCUAGUGAAGAAACCCAAGGUUGAACCCAAACCCGAGACUAAGUGCUUCUGUAAUGAGGGGAACGGUCACUGAAGCAGAACUACCCUAGAUACUUGGUAGAUGAGAAGGCUGGCGAGGUCGACAGAAGUAUUUUGAAUAUACGUUAUAUUAUUGUGUACUUUACUAGUACUCCUAGUAGCACCAGGGUAAUAAAUACUGGUUCGGUUGCUAAGUGCUAGUAACUCGAAAUAAAAGGCUGCGGAGACUAGCUAAAGGUGAGAUGACGAUGUGUUGGAAGUGUUUCCAAGGUUGAUGUGAUCAAACAUCGCACGCUCCCUCUACCAUCGGGAUUGGUGUUAAACCUAAAUAAUUGUUAUUUGGUGUUUGCGUUGAGCAUAGACAUGAUUGGAUUAUGUUUAUCGCAAUACGGCUAUUCAUUUAAGGAGAAUAAUGGUUACUCUGUUUAUUUGAAUAAUACCUUCAAUGGUCUUGCACCUAAAAUGAAUGGUUUCUUGAAUCUCGAUCGUAGUGAUACACAUGUUCAUGCCAAAAGAUAUAAGAUAGUAAUGAUAGUACCACAUACUUGUGGCACUGCCAUUUGAGUCAUAUUGGUAUAAAACGCAUGAAGAAGCUCCAUGGUGAUGGAUUUGGACUCACUCGUUUUUGAAAAGAUUGAGACAUGCGAACCAUGUCUAUUGGUAGAUAUGCAUGAAGAAACUCCAUAGUGAUGGAUCGUUUGGACUCACUUGAUUUUGAAUCACUUGAGACAUGCAAAUCAUACCACAUGGGCAAGAUGACUGAAAGGCCUCGUUUUCAGUAAGAUGGAACAAGAAAGCAACUCGUUGGAAAUAAUACAUUUUGAUGUGUGCAGUCCAAUGAGUGCUGAGGCACGCGGUGGAUAUCGUUAUGUUCUUACUUCAUAGAUGAUUUGAGUAGAUGCGAAGUAUAUUUACUUGAUGAAACAUAAGUCUGAAUUAUUGAAAGGUUUAAGUAAUUUCAGAGUGAAGUUGAAGAUCGUCGUGACAAGAGGAUAAAAUGUCUAUGAUAUGAUCAUAGAGAUGAAUAUCUGAGUUACGAGUUUGGCACACAAUUAAGAAAUUGUGGAAAUUGUUUCACAACUAAUACGGCCUGGAACACCAUAGUGUGAUGGUGUGUCCGAACAUCAUAACUGCACCCUAUUGGAUAUGGUGCAUACCAUGAUGUCUCUUAUCGAAUUACCACUAUCGUUUAUGGGUUAGGCAUUAGAGACAACCGCAUUCACUUUAAAUAGGGCACCAUGCAAUUCCGUUGAGACGACACCAUAUGAACUAUGGUUUAGAGAAACCUAAGUUGUCGUUUCUUAAAAGUUUGGGGCUGCGACGCUUAUGCGAAAAAGUUUCAGGCUGAUAAGCUUGAACUCAAAGCGGAUAAAUGCAUCUUCAUAGAAUACCCAAAACAGUUGGGUAUACCUCCUAUUUCAGAUCUGGAAGCAAAAGUGAUUGUUUCUAGAAAUGGGUCCUUUCUCGAGGAAAAGUUUCUCUCAAAAGAAUUGAGUGGGAGGAUGGUGGAGACUUGAUGAGGUCAUUGAACCAUCACUUCAACUAAUGUGUAGCAGGGCACAGGAAGUUGUUCCUGUGGCACCUACACCAAUUGAAAUGGAAGCUUAUGAUAGUGAUCAUGAAACUUCAGAUCAAGUCACUACCAAACCUCGUGGGUCGACAAGGAUGUGUACUACUUCAGAGUGGUACGUAAUCCUGUCAUGGAAGUCAUGUUGCUAGACAACAAUGAACCAUUCGGUUUUUCUCUCUCAAUGAGAAGGGCGAAUUGAAUGCCAUCUCUCAAAUUCCAGUCGUUUGUGAGUAUCAAGAUGUCUUUCCAGAAGAGCUUCCGGGUAUGCCUCCUCACCGUCCAGUUGAGUUCGUUAUCGAACUAGAGCCUGGCACUGAACCCGUUUGCAAGCGUCCAUACAAGCUUGGACCCAAAGAGCUGAAGGAAUUGAAGAAACAGCUUGAUGAACAAGAGCGUCUGGGUUUGAUCAGACCGAGUUCUUCUCCACGGGGUUGUGGUGUUCUUUUUGUCAAGAAGAAGGAUGGCACGGACCGACUUUAUGUCGACUACCGUCCAUUGAACAAGAAGACAAUCAAGAACAAGUAUCCACUUCCCAACAUCAAUGAGCUAUUUGAACAACUCAAAGGUGCUAAAGUAUUCUCGAAGCUUGACCUUCGUAUGGGUUAUCAUCAGAUUCGCAUUCGUGAAGAAGAUAUUCCCAAGACAGCAUUCAGAACAAGCUUUGGUUCUUAUGAAUAUACUGUCAUGUCUUUCGGCCUUGUCAAUGCUCCUCCAACUUUCUCUCGGAUGAUGAAUUUCAUCUUCAACCCCUAUACCAAUGAAUUCAUCUUGGUGUAUCUCGAUGAUAUCUUGGUCUUCUCCAAGAAUAAGCAGGAUCAUGCCAAACAUUUGCGAUUGGUCCUCGACAAGCUCAGAGAGUAUCAAUUCUAUGCGAAGUUCUCUAAAUGUGAGUUUUGGCUCGAUGAAGUUCUUUUCCUUGGUCACAUCAUCUGUGCCAAGGGCAUCGCUGUUAACCCUGAGAAGGUGUCCGCAAUUGUGAAUUGGGAACAUCCUCAGAAUGUCAAGCAGCUCCGUAGUUUUCUUGGUCUUGCAAGCUAUUGCCGAAGAUUCGUUGAGAAUUUCUCCAAGAUUACAAAGCCCCUUUCCAACCUCCUACAGAAGCAUGUGAAGUAUGUCUGGUCUCCUGAGUGUGAUGUUGCUUUCAACACUCUCAAAGAGAAACUAGUCACAGCUCCUGUCUUGACUCCUCCUGAUGAAUCCAAGCCGUUUGAAGUUUUCUGUGAUGCUUCUCUCCAAGGUCUCGGUGCUGUGUUAAUGCAAGAGAAGAAAAUUGUGGCCUAUACCUCUCGUCAGUUGAAGCCCAACGAGAAGAACUACCCCACUCAUGAUCUUGAGUUGGCGGCAGUUGUCCAUGCAUUAAUAACGUGGAGACAUCUCUUGUUGGGAAGACAAGUGGACAUUUUCACCGAUCACAAGAGUCUCAAGUAUAUCUUCACUCAGCCCAACCUCAACCUCAGGCAGACUCGAUGGGUCGAAAUGAUUCAAGAGUACAAUCCGAGUAUUGAAUAUACUCCAGGCAAAGCAAAUGUCAUUGCAGAUGCUUUAAGCAGGAAGGCUUAUUGCAACAGCUUAAUUCUCAAGCCUUUCCAACCGGAUCUUUGUGAAGCUUUCCGCAAGCUGAAUCUCCAAGUUGUUCCUCAAGGCUUUCUUGCCAACCUCAUAGUCUCUCCUACUUUGGAAGAUCAAAUUCGUGAGGCACAACUCCUUGAUGCCAUGGUGAAGAAGGUGAAACGUGGUAUCGACAAGGGUCUUUCCAAAUACAAGUGCUAUCGCAUUGAUGACAGAGACACUUUAUUCUUCGAGGACCGGAUUGUGGUUCCUAAAGGUGAUCUAAGGAAAGUCAUAAUGAACGAGGCGCACAAUUCUCUCCUUUCCAUCCAUCCUGGAAGUACGAAGAUGUAUCAUGACCUCAAGCAGUCGUAUUGGUGGACUCGAAUGAAGCGAGAAAUUGCUCAGUUCGUGAAUGAAUGUGAUGUCUGUCGAAGAGUGAAAGCAGAACACCAACGACCAGCUGGUCUCCUUCAACCUCUUGCUAUCCCAGAAUGGAAGUUUGAUCAUAUCGAAAUGGACUUCGUGACUGGUUUUCCAAAGUCCAAGCGCGGAAAUGAUGCUAUCUUCGUUGUCAUUGACAAGCUUUCUAAAGUGGCUCAUUUCCUUCCAAUCAAAGAAUCCAUCACAGCAGCUCAGCUGGUAGAGCUUUACACCUCCAGAAUUGUCUCCUUGCACGGCAUUCCACAAUUGAUUUCGUCUGAUCGUGGAAGCAUCUUCACCUCUAAGUUCUGGGACUCCUUCCAGAAGGCCAUGGGCACAAACAUUCGCUUCAGCAUAGCUUUCCAUCCUCAAACUAGUGGCCAAGUCGAGCGAGUCAAUCAAAUUCUUGAAUAUAUGCUCAGGGCUUGUGUCAUUUCUUUUGGCAUGAAAUGGGAAGAUUGUCUUCCAUAUGCCGAAUUCUCCUACAACAACAGUUUCCAAGCGAGUUCGGGCAAGGCCCCAUUCGAGAUUCUCUAUGGCAGAAAGUGCCAUACUCCUCUCAAUUGGUCAGCGACUGGUGAACGCCAACUUCUUGGCAAUGACUUAAUCACUGAAGCUGAAGAAAUGUGUAAAGUCAUCCGGGAUAAUCUCAAAGCCGCGCAAUCGCGCCAGAAGAGUUACUAUGAUAGUAAGCACCGUGAUUUGGCUUUCGAGAUCGGAGACCAUGUCUACCUCCGCGUCUCUCCAAUGAAAGGCACUCGUUGAUUCGGUAUCAAAGGGAAGCUUGCCCCUAGAUACGUGGGUCCUUUCAAGAUCAUUGACAAAAGAGGCGACCUCGCCUAUCAACUUGAGCUUCCUUCCAACUUCGCAAACGUGCACGAUGUGUUCCACGUGUCACAGCUCCGCAAGUGCUUCAAGACGCCUGAGCGCACUAUCAACUUCGAAGAGAUUGACCUCCAAGAAGAUUUGUCUUAUCAUGAGCACCCCGUUGCUAUUCUUGAAGAAACUGAGCGCAAGACUCGCAACAAGUCGAUCAAAUUCCUGAAAGUGAAGUGGUCGCACCAUUCCGACCGGGAAGCCACCUGGGAACGCGAGGACCACCUCCGUUCUGAAUAUCCGGAGUUCUUUCAGUCCUAGAUCUCGGGACGAGAUCCUCUCGUAGUGGUGGAGUGUUGUAACACCCCGCAUGUAACUUGCCAUAUUUGUAACUCCGACUCUUGCCAUUUUCGGCUAUGUGCUAUGUUAUUUCCUCCGUGGUUGGGUUUUGUCUUUUGUUUUGUAUUUUGUCAUGUCAUGCAUUUCAUAUCAUGUCAUCAUGUGCAUUGCAUUUGCAUACGUGUUCGUCUCUUGCAUCCGAACAUUUUCCCCGUUGUCCGUUUUGCAAUCCGGCGCUCCUAUCUCCUCCGGUGCACCCCUCUUGUUUUCUUUCGUGUGCGGGUGUCAAACUUUCUCGGAAUGGACCGAGGCUUGUCAAGUGGCCUUAAUAUACCACCCGGAGACCACCGGUCAAGUUUCGUUCCAUUUGGAGGUCGUUUGGUACUCCAACGGUUAACCGGGCAUCCGCAAGUCCAUUUGCGUGUGCAGCAAAAACCCCCCUAAAAACCAGCCCAAAACCCACCAAACUCUCUUCCAUGCUUGAGGUCGUUCGAUCACGAUCAUGUGGGCGAAAACCGCACCUCAUUUAGAGUCUCCUAGCUCCCUCUACCUAUAAAACUCCAUCCCCUCCCGAAACGAAUCUCAGUCCAAACCCUAGCUUCGUCCCUCCGCGCGCCGGACACGUCCGCCCGGCGCCGGACGAAACUCCUGCACCGCCGCCGCCACGUGUCGCCGUCGCCCGCGCCGUACGCCGCGNNNNNNNNNNNNNNNNNNNNNNNNNNNNNNNNNNNNNNNNNNNNNNNNNNNNNNNNNNNNNNNNNNNNNNNNNNNNNNNNNNNNNNNNNNNNNNNNNNNNNNNNNNNNNNNNNNNNNNNNNNNNNNNNNNNNNNNNNNNNNNNNNNNNNNNNNNNNNNNNNNNNNNNNNNNNNNNNNNNNNNNNNNNNNNNNNNNNNNNNNNNNNNNNNNNNNNNNNNNNNNNNNNNNNNNNNNNNNNNNNNNNNNNNNNNNNNNNNNNNNNNNNNNNNNNNNNNNNNNNNNNNNNNNNNNNNNNNNNNNNNNNNNNNNNNNNNNNNNNNNNNNNNNNNNNNNNNNNNNNNNNNNNNNNNNNNNNNNNNNNNNNNNNNNNNNNNNNNNNNNNNNNNNNNNNNNNNNNNNNNNNNNNNNNNNNNNNNNNNNNNNNNNNNNNNNNNNNNNNNNNNNNNNNNNNNNNNNNNNNNNNNNNNNNNNNNNNNNNNNNNNNNNNNNNNNNNNNNNNNNNNNNNNNNNNNNNNNNNNNNNNNNNNNNNNNNNNNNNNNNNNNNNNNNNNNNNNNNNNNNNNNNNNNNNNNNNNNNNNNNNNNNNNNNNNNNNNNNNNNNNNNNNNNNNNNNNNNNNNNCCGCCACGGAGCCCGUCCGCGCCACCGUGCCCGCCGGCGCCGCCCGUCGCCGCCGGGGCCCUCUCCGUCCGGCCCCUCCUCUCCUCCUCCGGCCUACCUCGCCGCCGCCCUCCUUCCUCCCCGCGGGCGAGCAGCGCCACCGGAGCACAAGCCGAUCCCGAGCUCGAGGAGCUCCCAAUCUGGAUCCCGAAUCACUGUAGCGUUGACUUCUCGCCCCCCCUAAUUUCUCUAAGUCCUUAAAUUUUCCAGCAUAUGCCUCUGUUCACAGCUCCAUAACUCCUUGCAUGUAGCUCCGAUUCACGCGUAUAAUAUGUCAAAUUGUUCGCCUCAUGAUGCUCUACAUUUCGUUCAAUUGCACCAUGUUCAUUAGAGGUCAUCUUGAUGCCCAAAUCUGUGUUGGAAGAGGGCUAGUUGCUGUUAUCCUCUGGUUCUUAGCAGAACUUGGAGAUUUGUCAUUUUUGUAUCUUUAAUUCUGUGCAUCUUAUGGGCAUGAGCUCUACAUGUGUUUUGAAUUAUGCCAUGCCAUCUUUCCAAGGGUGUAUGCCAUGUAUUUUUGUAAUCUCUGUGGUGACUAGCACAAGCACGCAAAAUAGGCUCAGUAAUAUUUCUGUUUUCAGGGACUUGGUGAUUUCUCUUAAGUCUUUGUCUGCUGUUAUUUUGUUGCCAUGUAAACUUGAUGCUACAGAGAGAUCCAUGCAUAUUUUGGAGAUGUUCAGUAAGGAUGUUUUGUUGCUAUAGUUGUAAUUGAUUCCUUCCUGCAAUUGGUUGCAAUUAUGGAGUGCCAUAGCAUGACUCAAUCUUGCUCGACUUUUGCUAUAAAAUAUUUCUGGCAGAUUCUCAACAUGAUAUGCAAUUUUGCCAAGCUUAUUGUAGUUGAUCCAUACAUGCUAUGCAAUUGUUCUUGCCAUGUAUAGCUUCAUAAACAUGCCAUCUUGCUGUAGGUAUGCUUGUUUUUUCAUGCAUUGCUCUGUAGUUAGUGCAUCAAGCUCACAAAGAGGCCUACAUAUUAUUAUUUCUGCCAUGCUCUGUUUUCCUAAGUCUGAAACCUGAUAACGAAACUUGCUAUGUUUACAUGCUUUCCAUCAUAUCUUCUGGUCCUUUUUGGCUUAUGGUGAGUAAGGCACGUUUGUCAUAUGCAUUUAGUAGAACACUGCCAUACCUUGUUUUGCUAUGUUAAGUUCCCGUAGCAUGUUGAUUUCGUGCUCUGAACAUUGCUACCUGAUGCUGUUUUCUGCCAUGUCCAGUUUUUCACCAAGUCUGUGAUCCUGUUAUCUUUUGCACUUUUGCCAUGCUUGUUUGAGCUUGAUAUGUUGUGAUCUAGCCAUAGCUCAGUGUUCAUCUUUUGUCAAGCAUCACCUGUAGGUUACUGCCAUAUACUUUGUUGCUAUGUUGGAGUGCUGUAGCAUUGUUGGUUGUUGCAUUUUAAGUGCUAUCAUGCUGUUAAUCGCAGAUUCGUGUCAUUCUUGUUUUGCUUGCCAUUUGCAAACCGUGCAUCCGUUUCCGGUGAUCUUUAUAUCGAUUUCGACCGAAAUCAUAUCAUCUUUCCAGUGGCAUGCUUGGUUUGCCAAGUUACUGCCAUGUUCAUCAUUUUCCUUCCGGAGCACGCAUAUGCAUCGCAUAUCAUAUCUCGCAUAUCAUACAUGUUUUGCAUCAUGUUGUUUGUGCAUUUCUCGUGGUUGAUUGUGGUUCCGUUUGCUUGUGUUCUUGUCUUGGGUAGAUCCGGGAGACGACUUCAUGAACGAGGAACCUGUCGAGUACGCUUACGAGGAUCAAGCUUUCGACAACUCUAAGAACCUUGCAGGCAAGAUGACCACCCCUCGAAAUCACUUCUAUCUUUGCUUUGCUAGUUGUUCGCUCUAUUGCCAUGCUACGCUACCUAUCACUUGCUAUAUCAUGUCACCCAUUUUGCCAUGUCAGCCUCUAACCAUCCUUUCCUAGCAAACCGUUGUUUGGCUAAGUUACCGCUUUUGCUCAGCCCCUCUUAUAGCGUUGCUAGUUGCAGGUGAAGUUGAAGUUUGUUCCAUGUCGGAACGUGGAUAUGUUGGGAUAUCACAAUAUCCCUUAUUUAAUUAAUGCAUCUAUAUAUUUUGGUAAAGGUUGGAAGGCUCGGCCUUAUGCCUGGUGUUUUGUUCCACUCUUGCCGCCCUAGUUUCUGUUAUACCGGGAUUAUGUUCCUUGAGUUUGCGUUCCUUACGCAGUCGGGUGAUUUAUGGGACCCCCUUGACAGUUCGCCUUGAAUAAAACUCCUCCAGCAAGGCCCAACCUUGGUUUUACCAUUUGCCACCUAAGCCUUUUCCCCCGGGUUUUCGCGAGCCCGAGGGUCAUCUUUAUUUUAACCCCCGGGCCAGUGUUCCUCUGAGUGCUGGUCCAAACUAGAGCCACUUGCAGCGCCACCUUGGGGAAACUCGAGGAUUGGUUUUAGCUAUACGUAGUGUUCAUCCGGUGUGCCCUGAGAACGAGAUAUGUGCAGCUCCUAUCGGGAUUUGUCGGCACAUUCGGGCGGCUUUGCUGGUCUUGUUUUACCAUUGUCGAAAUGUCUUGUAAACCGGGAUUCCGAGACUGAUCGGGUCUUCCCGGGAGAAGGUUUAUCCUUCGUUGACCGUGAGAGCUUAUGAUGGGCUAAGUUGGGACACCCCUGCAGGGUAUUAUCUUUCGAAAGCCGUGCCCGCGGUUAUGAGGCAGAUGGGAAUUUGUUAAUGUCCGGUUGUAGAGAACUUGUCACUUGACCCAAUUAAAAUACAUCAACCGCGUGUGUAGCCGUGACGGUAUCUUCUCGGCGGAGUCCGGGAAGUGAACACGGUUUGAGUUAUGUAUGACGUAAGUAGGUGUUCAGGAUCACUUCUUGGUCAUUGCUAGAUGACGUCCGUUCCGUUGCUUCUCUUCUCGCUCUCUUUUGCGCAAGUUAGCCACCAUAUAUGCUUUUGCCGCUGCAGCUCCACCUUAUUACACCAUCCUUUCCUACAAGCUUAAAUAGUCUUGAUCUCGCGGGUGUGAGAUUGCUGAGUCCUUGUGACUCACAGAUUCUGCCAAAACAGUUGUAGGUGCCGGCGAUGCCAGUGCAGAUGAUGGCGUCGAUCUCAAGUGGGAGUUCGACGAGGAACGUGGUCGUUACUAUGUGUCUUUUCCUGAUGAUCAGUAGUGGAGCCCAGUUGGGACGAUCGGGGAUCUAGCAUUUGGGGUUGUCUUAUUUUCAUCUGGAUUUUGACCGUAGUCAGUCUAUAUGUUUGUAUUUCGGAUGAUGUAUGAUUUAUAUUUAUGUAUUGUGUGAAGUGGCGAUUGUAAGCCAACUCUUUAUCCCAUUCUUGUUCAUUACAUGGGAUUGUGUGAAGAUUACCCUUCUUGCAACAAAACCACUAUGCGGUUAUGCCUCUAAGUCGUGCCUCGACACGUGGGAGAUAUAGCCGCAUCGUGGGCGUUACAAACGAGGUAUGGGGAUACCGAUGAUCGAAUCUCGGGCAAGUAACAUACCGAUAGACAAAGGGAAUUGAAUACGGGAUUGAUUGAAUCCCCGACAUCGUGGUUCAUCCGAUGAGAUCAUCGUGGAAUAUGUGGGAUCCAACAUGGGUAUCCAGAUCCCGCUGUUGGUUAUUGGCCGGAGAACGUCUUGGUCAUGUCUGCAUGGUUCCCGAACCCGUAGGGUCUACACACUUAAGGUUUGGUGACGCUAGAGUUGUUAUGGGAAAUAGUAUGUGGUUAUCGAAGGUUGUUCGGAGUCCCGGAUGAGAUCCCGGAUGUGACGAGGAACUACGGAAUGGUCCGGAGGUGAAGAUCGAUAUACUGGACGAAGGGUAUUGGAGUCCGGAAUUGUUCUGGGAGUACCGGGUGACGACCAGCAUUACCGAAAGGUGUUUCGGAGGCCCCGGCAAGCGUUGGGGGGGCCUUAUGGGCCAAGGGGAGGGGGCACAUCAGCCCACUAAGGGGCUGUGCGCCCCUCCCACCCCAUCUCAUGUAACGUGGAGAGGUUGGGGCGCCUCCCAUAGGGCAGCCACCCCUCCCGGCUUGGGGGGCAAGUUUCCUAGGGGUGGGGGCGCCCAAACCCAUCUAGGGUUUCCCCUGUGGUCGCCACCCCUCCCCUAGGGAACCCUAGGGCGCCUCCUCCACCCCCCUUCCCCCCUAUAUAUAGUGAGGGAGAGAGAGGGCAGCCGCACCCCUUCCCUGGCGCAGCCCCUCCCUCCUCCAACUCUUCCUUCUCCUCCGUAGAGCUUAGCGAAGCCUUGCAGGAAUACCACAAGCUCCACCACCACGCCGUCGUGCUGCCGGAGUUCUCCCUUAACUUCUCCUCUCCCCUUGCUGCAUCAAGAAGGAGGAGACGUCCCCGGGCUGUACGUGUGUUGAACGCGGAGGCGCCGUCCGUUCGGCGCUAGAUCGGAUCUUCCACGAUUUGAAUCGCCGCGAGUACGACUCCAUCAACCGCAUUCUUGUAACGCUUCCGCUUAGCGAUCUUCAAGGGUAUGAAGAUGCACUCCCUCUCUCUCGUUGCUAGCAUCUCCUAGAUUGAUCUUGGUGACACGUAGGCAUUUUUUUGAAUUAUUACUACGUUCCCCAACAUGGAGAAGAUUGGGUAGAUUUUAUAUCGCCGAAUAAAAAUAUUAAAGAGUCCAGACGCUCCACCGCGAGGUUUCUUGCUCCUUCUUGGUCAUCAGAAAGCGUUCUUCUAUGUUUUGCCGACACGUGGGACAUCCAGCAUCCAGGUUCACGUGUCAUGCAAGAAAAUGGAGUUAAGUAUAGUAGGAGAGACUCACCAACGGUCACGAACGUAGGUGGAGUACGUGCACGAAUCACCCGAAAAAAGGAAUACGAGCACGAAGAGAAGAUGUGCAGGCACCGACACAGGUACUCUUUACGACGAAACAAAGUUCGAUCAUGACGCGGUGGCGCGUUUUAUAUAAAUUAAGUUAUUCUAUUCGAUGGCAUGUACGCAACAUUAUUUUCUCAAUGGAAUGUGAAUCGUGCACACACUGAAUGAUGGAGCAUGGGAUGGUAGCCAUGGACAUGGUCAGCCCUUUCUGGAGACUAAUACACUACUUUUGAUGUGUCCCGUCAACUCGCAAAUGAGGAGAAGCUUUGCUUACUACGACUAGCCAAAGUGGAGAGUAACAUACACUAGUAACAUACACAUAUUCCUAGACUAUGUUACUACCUUCAUAGUGGGUAGUAACAUAAGUGUGGUGUCAUGCAAAGCUGCAUUUAUUAGGUUAUAGACUCAUAUUGCAUUGGGACAUGUGAUGUUACAGUAACUAACUGAGUUACUCAAACUACCUCUCUCCUCAUUAACUCACUGCCACAUAAGCAAAUUUGCUGAGUUGGACUCGAUGUUACUGCUGAAGUUACUCCCACUAUGGCUGGUCUACUAGUAUGAUCUCUCCCUCGCUCACGUGCGUGCGGUGGCUCACGGGAUGAGGAGAAACUUUUGCUUUACGAUAGUGCACUUAAUACAGGCGGUGGACGUGCAGCAGUUCAUUCGGUGUCAGAUUGCCAGAAGUAUCUAUAUUGUAGUACCAUCAUCAUUGUUUGACUUCCGAAAGAGGCGAAGAGCCAAGCGCACGGUCACCUACUCAUAGUAUAACCGGUCGUGUUUGCACGAAUUUUUUAACGUAGUACAAUCUGAGUGGAUUGCUCCAGUGGUCAUCACAUGCGAGCCAAUCGGUUCGCACCCUUCCGUGCUCCAUUUUUUCUUGCGUUCCUUCCUCCGUCCAGCACACUGACAAGUGGGCCCCAUGCUCAUGUAUGCCAACGUGGUAGUCAAUUAAUUUUCCAGACACCUAUCACAACCUUUCGAUGCCACGUCAAUGUACCCACUAAAAACAAGUUAGACUUGUUCGGUUCAACCACCUCCCUAGGUCUUUGGAGAGACAUUGGCCGUCGCAAGGCGGUUCUAUAGGUGGCAGACGGCAAAAAAUAGGGGAAAAUGCAUGAACCAGCUAAACGAGAGAUUUGGUUGAUUUUAUAUCGCUGAAUAAUAUAAAUAUUAUGAGUGCAGACACUCCACCACGAGGUUCCUUGCUCCUUCUCGGUCGUCGGGAAUCUAUGUUCUUCCACUCUUUUUUUAUGUGACAUUUGUUCAUCAUUUUGCCAACACACGGGACAUCUAGCAUCAGGGGCGGAGCUGGGCCCCGGGCACCUAGGUCCCUGGCCCAGGGCGUGAAAAGUGUCAUAGGCUAUAAUUAUAUUGAUUUUUUUCAGGCCCGGGGUGCAGCCCGAUGAAAAGACAAAGGCCCAAACCUUGAUGGGUUGCCUUACCAGAAGGCAUGCACGCACGAGGCGAUACAACCCCACGAUCGAGCAUUUCUCAAAAAAUAAAAAGAACCCCACGAUCGAGCGCACGAGGGGAGAUGCAGCGACGCAUCGUUGCUGGUAAAAGAAAAAGACACUGCUCCCGAGGCCGCCGCCGAGUCACACUAACGCUGGACGGCAAGAUUGAUCUCCGAGCGCUCCACGCCGCCGCCCACCGUGGUGUCUUUCCCCUGCUCCCGUCUGUCGCUGCCCUGUCCUGUGCAUCAUUCGCCCUCGCCCGUGUGGCACUUCUUCACUGCCGGUUCCUUCACUGUCGGUUGCCACUGCCGCACCUUGUAAUUCUGUUUGAUGCUCUCGCUGUUUCUCCCCUGAUCCUCUCCAUUUAUACCAUGUUCUACUUGUAUUAAUGUAUAAAUCGCAUCAAACCGAAAUUUAAUUGAAAUAAUGUGUCUGUAUGUAUCCAGUCAUAUAUCUAGGGUAUUGUUGAACUUAAAUUGAUGUAAUCGACAUUUUCAUUUCAUUUUGUAGAUCAUUUUCAAUCAUAUAGGCCUCGCAAAGUGCUUUUACCUCAUUGAAGUAGUAAGGUUUUAGAUUUGUAUCAGUCAUAAUUGUUGCACUUGAUGUUUAUGUCGUCUCAAGAAAUUUUGCUUCUUAUGUUGAAUGUGUUGGCUCUUCUUCCGCCGUCGAUGAGGUUAUGUGAGGCAUUGAUGAAGCAAACCAUUGAUUUGGUACUCUUUUUUAUCACAUAUUGUUCUUUGUAGUUUUUGUCAUAUUUUAUCUAUUUUGUUGUAGCAUCAAGCAUUGAUUUUAAAUUUUAAAUUUUUCAUGCAAUUGAACCAUCUUUUGUAUGGGGUAUCUUUUGAGGUAGUUAAAAGUCUUAUGGACGUUAAGAUUUCCCCUCACGGCGAAAAAAAAUUUGGGCCCGGGGCUUGUUCCAAUCCUGGCUCCGCCACUGUCUAGCAUGAAGGUGCAUGUGUCAUGCAAGAAAAUGGAGAUAAGUAGUGCGUAAGUGAGUCAUGCACUUCGAUGGCACCUAGUACUACGCAAUAUUUUUUCUCCUCGAUGGCACGUGAAUAGUGCACGUACUCAAUGACGGAGCACGGGAUGGUAGCCAUGGACAUGGUCGGCCCUUUUUGGAGAGAGUACUAAAUAACUUUGAUGUGUCCCAUCAACUCGUAGAACGACGAGAAGCUUGCUUACUACACCUUCUCCCUCGCCAACGCGUGCGCGGUGGCUCGCAGCACGAGGAGAAACUUUUGCUUACAAGCGGUGGACGUGCAGCAGUUCAUUUGGUGUCAGAUUGCUAGGAGUACUACUGUAGUACCCGACUUCCAGAAGAGGAGAAGAGCCAAGGGCAAGGCCACGUACUAACCAGUAGUAUACUAUAGCCAAAGCUGGUCCACCUUUUUAGAGCAUGGUUAAUUAAUAUAGGCGGCUCUUGCAGUGGCACAUCAUUUAGAGCAAGUACUCUCUUCGUAGGAACUUAAAACGCAGGAAUAGGAAAAAUAAAGGAUUGGAGUGGCAUGUCCACUUGAAUCCCAUAGCAUUAACACAGUGUUCCCCUCAGAAAAAACAUAGUGUUUGACACAGGAAAAACAAAGGAAGUGAAGAAAAAAAGUUGGAGGGGAUGCUAGAUUUCCUAUUAACACAUGAUUUCAUAGGAAAAAAAUCCUAUAGCAUUCUAUCCUAUGAAUCAAACGACCAAUGUAGGAAAAUUAUGAGGGGGGUCUCUCCAACUGUGUUCCUUGGCUCGCACCUAGCAUCACGGUGGUCGAACUUGGAGUCAUUCCUCUAGUACACGUGGCAUCUCAGAUCUGGACACAAGGUGGCAUACACCAUCAAGGAUAAUGUUGUCCUCAAAGCUGGACGUACAUGGUCAAGGGGGUAAGGGCGGACGUGACCUCUCACUGCGUCCACCAUUUGAAGCGGCGCGCCGACCGAGGGCGCCUCCCACUGCAGUCCCAGCUGUACCCGCCUCCUCGCCGCAUUCAAAAACCUACAUUUACUAAUGUGUAAAAGCAUGAACGAGGGAAGGCCUUAUUUGCAAAUGUGGAGAGGGGUGUGGGUAUCUUUUUGCAAAAUUUUCAUAGUUUCCUUCCUACCCGUCAUAUAUAAAUCGAACGGCCUAUAUUGCAGGAUGGCAAGCACACCAUCAUCACCAACUCUGUUUUUUAUAAGAGUAGAGAUAGAGAAACCCGCGUGGAAUGCGAGAAACCCACUCUGUCCACACACUUCUGUUCAGGAGCAGGACGCCGGCCAAGCUCCUCCUUCCACCAUUUUCUCCACUCUUUCGGCGGCAUCCGACGAGCAGGAAGAGCAGUUCUCUGACAUAAAAGUCAUCUGGGUGGCCUGCCGAGCCCGGUAGUUACGAGCGAGGUAGCUCGCUGCUCCACCUACCCCGCCUAGCCUGUCGAAGGCAGUUGCCGCACUAAGCCAGCGCGUGGUUCCGCAGCUGGCCGCUCCAAUACAGCUCGAGGAAGAGUGCCGACUUGCUCCACGUCGGCUUGUCGGUGAGCACGGCGGCACGGGCAUCGUCGCUGCCCUCGACGCCGCCGUAUUGUACAGCGCUUCCAGUGCCUGCGACUGUGCCAUCCGGCGUCGACACACGUGUAGCCACGCCAUGCAGGCAGAGAAAGAAGCCGUCGCGGAUGUCGACGAGGUGACGCGGCUACGCGGAUGUCGAUGAUAUAACGUACAGCACGUCCCCGCCCGCCGCCAUCAUCGAGGAGAAGUAAAACACGGGAGGCGGCCGCCGAUUGUAUCCCAUGAAGGCCACCGCCGAGGCGACGCCGGCGAAAAUAGCCGGUGUCUUGCACGAUUCUUCUUCAGCUGGAUGCUGGAGGAGGACAAAGAGAUCGGGCGGCAGCCAUUUAGAUUAUGUAUAUUAAUUCUACCAGGCUGGUUGUAAUGGGAGUACCAUAAGUAGUAUCAUGCAUGCCAACUAGGCAAAUUUGAUGAGGUGGCGUAGAAUUAAAUGAAGAAAGAGAGGGUUGAGUAUCAUAUUAUGAUACUGUAUGGAAUUAAGUUACUCCCACUGUGGUUAGUCUUAGGCCUUGUUCAGUUCAACCUCCUUCCAAGGGUUUGGGGAGGAAUGGAGGGGAAUUUGGCUUGUACAUGAUUUAAUCCCCCACAAUCCCUGUUAAUCCCCCUUAAAACCCCUUGAACCGCACAUGCCCUUGUUAUCACAUAAUCAUAAUGCAAUUGUUAUGCAUGUUAAUGUAAGCCCCCGUUAAUCUAGUGCCAGUGUUGAUUUGAUGUGAUGGCACUUCUUAGAUAAUGGCACUUUUCCAUAUUGUCACUGUAAUGCCAUUGAUAACAUAUGAGAUGUUGUUGUUAAUAUGCCGCUGCAAAAAAAUGGCACUGCCUAAAUAACCCUGUUACAUAUUUGUGCAAAUAGGGUUGUCUAUCUCAAUAUGGUGUCUAUUUGUGCAAACGGAAGCACAAACCUCAAUUUUAGUGGAACCUGCUAUCGGCUGACCUCACGGUGCUCCAGGUAUUCCUACAUUCUUAACUAGGUAGAAUGACCAACGCAAGAUGAAAUAAGCUUAUUGGUACGUUGACCGAUGAGGAUCCAUAAUUAAGCUGGAGGCGUCUCUUAUUUUUCUUUCGAAUGGGCAAUAAGCUGGAGAGCUGGAGAGUGUCUCUAAUGGGCUGCCUCUAGUGUUAAGGCCCUCUAGUACGAAACACGGGCAGUCGACUGGGCCGAUACAAAAGCCUAUCCAUCUUAAAGCCCAUUUGUUUUUGUUUUUUGCGAGGAGAAGCCCAUAUUUCUUGAAGAGGGAGCAAUCCCAGAAAAACCCUCCUUCCUGCUCGCUUCCACUUAUACUGCAGCUCGCUGGACUCUCCCGCUUCCGUCACCCCACCCCCAAUUCCCCCCGCUCCCCAUCUUCCUCACUCGUACAGAAAACCCCCGCUCACCUUCUUCCUCACUCGUAUAGAAAACGCCUACUCCUCUUCUUUCACUCCUACAGAAAACCCCAACCCUCCUUCUUCCCCACUCGCACUGCCACUAGGCUCGUCUCUGGCUACUCUGCUCAAACCCGUGAGCUCAACGCGAUGCCCGCAAGGAAAAUGGAGUCGGCUGGCCCCAGCGCUAAGAAGAUGACUCGCCAGCGGCGACGCCGGUUGUAGAUCCUNNNNNNNNNNNNNNNNNNNNNNNNNNNNNNNNNNNNNNNNNNNNNNNNNNNNNNNNNNNNNNNNNNNNNNNNNNNNNNNNNNNNNNNNNNNNNNNNNNNNNNNNNNNNNNNNNNNNNNNNNNNNNNNNNNNNNNNNNNNNNNNNNNNNNNNNNNNNNNNNNNNNNNNNNNNNNNNNNNNNNNNNNNNNNNNNNNNUGAGGAACCCGUAGAAUCUCUGGUGGACCGCAUCAGCGAUCUCCCGGACGACAUCCUUGGGGAGAUCAUCUCGCUUCUCCCCACCAAGGAUUGUUGCCGCACACAAGUCCUCUCAACUAGGUGGCGCCCUCUAUGGUGCACCGCACCCCUCAAUCUAGACUGUCGUCAGAUAUCUGUCCUUCUUGAAUUUGAUCUCCUCAGAGCCAUCUUCUCCUCUCACCAGCAGGGCCCCGUUCAAUGCCUCUGCAUCCCGACAUGCUACCUGUUGUCCAUACCCUGCACAGUGGACUCUUGGCUAACAUCCCUUGAAUUCGAAAAACUCCAGUAGUUUGAGUUCUACCAUUACCACGAAAGUUUCAUACCAUGAACCGAACACCGAGAAUUUGUGCCCAUGCCACUGUUGUCCAUCUCGUGGUUUUCCUCCUCUCCCUCCACACCGCCACCUUCGCCCAGUGCCAUCUACCAGACGAUCUGGUACAAAUGCUUCGACUCCCUCUGCUAAAAAAACGUUCGCUUGUGGUGGUUUAUCUGUUGGAGACCUCACUGCAUAGCAUCAUCCAAUCCAGUUGCCCUGCCCUGGAGCGCUUGCUGAUUGUUUUUGGAAUAGAAAUCCCUAUCAGUUAUCUCCAAAUAAAGUCGCCUCACCUUAAUAGCAUUGGAAUUUGUUUUGAAGGAUAGCAGCUCAUCAUCGAAGAUGCCCCUUCACUUCAAAGGUUGCUCCUUCAUUAUUGUUAUAAACCUUCGCAAAUAGAUGUCAUCUCUGCGCCCAAACUAGAGACCUUGGGUGUAAUUCGUGAUCCGUUUAAUGAUCACAACAAGUUGGUGUUUGGCUCCUCACUUUUUCAGGUACCGUAUAUUAUCAUCUACACAUUUGUAAUCAUAAGCUACAUUUUUCAUUUGUGCGCAUAAGUUUUUAUAUCAUCUUGGAGUCACUUUGGGUACUAAUAUUAUGUUAUAUGCUGAAUGAAGAGUUUGUCCAUGGAUAGCCUAUCAAUGAUGCUGGAUUCUGUCAAGAUCUUAUAUAUCGGAAUGUAUAGUUAUGAUCUGAACAUAAUUAUCGGCUUGCUGCGAUGCUUUCGAUGUCUGGAGAAUUUAUAUAUAAAGGUGAUGAUUUCAUGCACAUUGAAAGCCCGUAUAUAUUGUACUAGAAUUAAUCGUUCAACUGUCGCUCUUUCGACAUACUCUUUUUUCAGACCUUAACUGUUUUCAAUAUUCAUGUCUACUUAGGCACUAACACAUGGAGAAAAACAUAUAACCAAUCGGUGGCGUAAUAAGCACAAGGAUUUUCUCAGUUCUCAUGACAUUUGUUUGAGGAAAAUAACGAUGGAAGGAUAUGCAUCCAACCAGGCAAACAGAAGCUUUGUCACAUUCUUCAUAUUGAAUGCGAGGUUACUAUUGUCCAUGAGGCUUAAGUUUUUCAACAACAGAUUUCUCACGACGGACAUGUUGAACAGCAAAAAAGAAGUUUCAGGUGGACAAAUGAGCUUCUGAACGUGCUUGGCUUCUAUUUACAACAACUUGUAGUCAUCCUCCAAUAAAUGUUUUUGCACAGGAUACUGAUUUUAUGGAUCAGAUCGAUCCAUUUGUUUGUGACUGCAAAAAAGAGUGGUUGAGUUAGAUGUUAUUGCCAUGUUCAAUCUGGGUUUUGUCUAAAUUUGAUGAGCAAUUAAUCCUUGGGCUUUUUGUACCAUUUGUAAGCUUGAGUUACAUGUUGUUGCCCUCGUACUCCCCUCCGCCUGCCACUACACUACCGCAUCUUCCAUGGCUCCUGUUCGUUCUCCGCCUUGGUUCGCUUGUUGUGCCCGCCGCCGUCUAGCGUUGUCAACAUGGUCUACAACCGAGAGGAAUCAGGAGAUGACUGUACAUGGAGGGGCUGAAAGUAGGGACCCACCAGGGUCAUUGCAUUACGCAAGUAGGUACCUCGUUAUUACAAGCCAAAAAAAUACUUCCUCCUAAUUGUUUGAUAACUAGGUCCCACGCCAUUGUCAAUGUAGUCAAUAAAUAAGAAAAUUACACAACGAGCGGAUAACACCAGGGACCCAGCAGCUCGCCCAGUUGUUUUUUACUUUUAGAGACGGAGCUCAACUGCGCGCUGUGCGGGGGCUGUGGCCCAUCUAGCCCACGCUUACGCUUUUAUUUAAGCACAUGACGAGCCCAGUUGAUAUCUUUUUUCUUUCUGAAAAUGGCUAGCCCAGUUUUUUUUGGAGAAUACCCAACCGAGGCCUACUUGCUUUUCUCAGCCCUGCUGGGCUGUAAAUCUUUCAAGAUGAGGAGGGAUGUAAGUAAAGAGAUGGGCAUCCCCGGAAAAUGGGCUAUAAGUUGUAAGAAAUGGGCUGUAAAAAAUUUAACCAAAGCCAACCGGCAAUUACAUUCAAAUAUUGUUUUUUCUAUAUUUCUCUACUCUAUAAAAAUCAGAGUUGGUGAUGAUGGUAUGCCUGCCAUCCUGCAAUAUAGGUCGUCCGAUCUAUAUCUAACGGAUAGGAAGGAAACUAUGACAAUUUACCCGCACUCCUCUCCACAUUUGCAGAUAAGGCCUUCCCUCGUUCAUCCUUUUCUCCCACAAGAUAAACAAUCAUACAAAUGCAUCUUGAUGUUCCAUGCAACACAUGGGCAUCUUGCUAGUCAAGAUUUUAAAUUUCAUUCUUUUUUUGUGGAGAAUUGUUUUUGAAUUUUAUUUUGAUAUAAUUUUUUAAAAAUUAUUUUUAACGUGACUCAAAAUUUCAUGAUUAAAAGCGUUCGGACUGAAAUAUGCAAAAUUUCGUUGAAUUUUUUAGCAGUGCCCAGAAUAUGGUCUGUAAUGCUAAUAAAAAGAAUAUGGGCUUCAAAAUAUCCUUAAGAAUUAGCAAAUGGGCUGUAAAUUAUUGAAAAUAAUGGCUAAUGGGUUGUAUGCUAUUUUCCACAGAUUUGGAGGCUGACUUCUCGGCCUACUAGGUUGACGAUGACGCUGUCCUAAAAAAUAUUUUGACGCGUACGCAAGGCUUUGUCAACUUAGUCAACACAGAGCAGUGAUUGUUGGAUGUCCAUCCAACGGCCGUCGUGCUUCUUCAAUCUCUGAUCUUCCUGCUCCAGCCGCCCAAACCAGCACCGGCGGGACUGCCUACUCCCUCCUCCCAAGGCCGGCUGUGCUGCCGCCAGGCCAUCCCGCUACCCACCCGCACAUCCUGUUAUUUUCCAGCGACGUCAGCCUCACCCCGCAGCCGACCAGUCAACGCUCGUACUCCCCUCAGCGUGGGCAUCCGAUGUUGUGGCUUCGCCGGCUCCGGGUCGUUCCCUUCCUGGGCCUCGCCCUCGUCCACCGCGUUUGUGCUCUCGGUGCGACGUAGUCAACAUGGUCAACAAACAACUGCCAUCGGAAGAGCGAUGUAAGUGGAGAGGCUGACAGUAGGGACCCACACAAGCAAGUGCCUCCUUAUUACGCGCAAAAUAAUGAUUCCUCCACCUGACAACUGGGAUCCACCGGAAGGGCCUCUGUAUUUCACGAAAAAAUGUUCCUCCCACUGACAGCUCGGACCUACUAGCUAUAUCUUCGCACGCAAGGAAGUGCCUCCUUAUUACGCACAAAAAAUGAAUACUCCCCCUGCUAGCUGGGACCCACCAUAGGGGGAGGCUGACUUGUGGGCCUACUAAGUUGACGUGAAUGGAGGGCUUUGUCAACUUAGUCAAUAUGAACGAUUCUAGCUCUAGUGACCGUACGAUGUCCAUCCAACGGCUGUAGUGCUUCUUCAACCUCUGGUCUUCUUGCUCCAGCCGCCCAAACCAGCGCCGGUCAUGCCGCCUGCUCCUGCCUCCCGUGGCCGGCUCUGCUGUGGCACAGGCCUCACCGCCCCAACCUACUCCAACCUCUGGCCAGGCCAUCCCUCUACUCACACAACCCCUGUUAUUCUGCGGCGACGACAGCCUCACACCACAGCCGAACUAGUCAACCCUCGUACUCCUUUCCGCGUGGGCAUCAACUGCCCUGUCUUCCCCGGCUUUGCAUCGUCCCCUUCCUAGGCCUCGCCGUCGUCCAUCGCCUUGGUGCUCUCGGCGCGCCGUGCUCAAUGUGGUCAAGGAAUGACUUUCAUCGGAAGAGGACUGUACGUGGAGAGGCUGACAGCUGGGUCCACGGCCGCAGCAAGGAAGUGCCUCCUUAUUACGGGCAAAAUAAUGAUUCCUCCACCUGACAGCAGGGACCCACCGGACGGGCCACCGUAUUUCAUGAAAAAAUGUUUCCCCCUGACUACUGGGACCCACCAGCUACAUCUUCGCACGCAAGGGAGUGCGUCCAUAUUACGGGCAAAAAAUAUGAUUCUCCCCCUGAGAGCUGGGACCCACUAGCUAUAUCUUCGCAUGCAAGGAAGUGCCUCCUUACCUCCCUGACAGCUGGGACCCACCCGAUCGAACCGUACAUAGGGUUAUCUGUCUGGUCGCGAACGUGUAGGUACAUACUGGUCGAUCGGUCUGUCUGCAGGCUACAGCGAUGAACCGUGGCCGAGUAAGGAAGGGCACGUGUCGUAGUAGAGGCGCGGGCGUAGCAUGUCACGCAGUCCCGUCUAUAUCGUGUACAUGUACGUACAGCCAGGGUGCAAGAAAGUAAAUACAGCCACGUACGUACAUACGGGCGGGGUCUCGAACGCCUACUCGCGCAUACUUACGGCCAGGGCUCGUGUACAUGGAGAGGCAGCGGAGAGCAGCGACGGCGUCCUGUUCAUCGGAAGCCAACCGGCUGGGCCGGAAUGGAGAAACUGCGUCGUGUUCAUCGGGAGGCAAUGGAAUGCGUCCUGUUCAUCGGUAGCCAACCAGCUUGGAUGGAACAGUUGAAACGAGGCCUGGCGUACCGCAGAAUGGAGGAAACGGCCUUCUGUUCGACUGCCUAUGGUCGAAACGGGAUCAUGUUCACCGGGAGGGGUCUGGUGUACCGCAAAACGGAGGAAACGGGGUCCUCUUUGACCUCCUACGGUCGAAAUGGGGUCCUGUUGAUCGGGAGGGGUGUGGCGUACCGCAAAACGGAGGAAACGGACUUCUCUUCGACCUCCUACGGUCGAAACAGGGGUCAUGUUCAUUAGGAGGGUGUGGCGUACCGCAAAACGGGACUCCAUGGGCUACUGUUCAUCCACCGUCUACUGCCUCGCUCCAGCCUCCACGGGCUACUGUUCAUCCACCGUCGACCUCGUCCAGCCUCCACCUGCACUAUUCAUCCAUCGCGUCUCCCUCCUGCCUCCACCAGCUAUUGUUCAUCCAUGGGCUCCUGUUCAUCCAGCCUCCACCGGCUACUGUUCAACCAACCCUCCACGGGUUACUGUUCAUCCAUCCCUCCACCGGCUACUGUUCAAUCAGCCCUCCAUGGGGUCCUGUUCAUCCACCCCCAACAUGCUCGAUCGGGGUCCUGUUCAUCCAGCGGAAAUGGCCUCUAGCUACUACCACGGGGUCCUAUUCUUCCAACCCCCACCGGGUACUGUUCAUCCAAUACCGAACAACGCUCACUGUUCGUCAAGAGGCAGCAGGUUCGAUCGUCUUCAGUUAGCAGCAAUAGCGAAGGAAUUGCUCGAACGGGUUCAGUUAACAGCCAGAUCGAUUGAUCGCUCGGGUUCCGUAAUGUGUAGCCUGCAGUGCAAUCGCUCGGGUUCAGUAGGCGAAUGCCUCGCUCGGGUUCAGUUAGAGCCCAACGCCUCGCACCCAUGUGUGUACGUGUACGAGAGAAACGUGCAAUCCCUCUGUGCAUCGCUCGGCCCCGACCACCCAUCGUAACCGGGAACUCCCCGAUAUUUUCCUUGCCCUUGCUUCUAACACAGUUUUUUCCGUCAUGGACGGCCCAAAUAAUGUCAUGCAGCUGCGUCUCCGGCCCGCCCAGGACGAAAAGCCCAUUUUCUGUCAUGAUUUUUUGUCAUAGAAGUAGGAGCCCACCACAUCUAUGAUGAUACCGGGUUUUGUCACAAUUAUCAUCAUAGAAGUGUCAUAAGCAUGACAAAAAAAAUUCGUUCGGCCCAAAAUGUCACGGAUGUGUCUAUUUUUUUGUAGCGAUAAAGGCUUUUUGUAAUCUAAAAAUAUAAAAAUGGCAAGGUCGCAAGUGAUAAAAUGGAGCAAAUGGUAUUACAAUGCUUAGAAACAAGGCCUAGGUUCAUACUUUCACUAGUGUAAUCUCUCAACAGUGCUAACAUAAUUGAAUCAUAUAACAGUCCCUCAACAUGCAACAAAGAAUCACUCCAAAGUUUCUACCGGAGAAAGUAGGACGAAAACGUGUAUCGACCUAUGUGCCUAGAUUACCCUAAUGUCACCAUGGGAACCCACAAGUUGAAUACCAAAACAUACAUCAAGUAACUCAAUAGAACACCCCAUUGUCACCAUGGGUAUCCACGUGCAAGACAUAUAUCAAGUGAUCUCAAAUCCAAUAUUCAAUCCAACACAACGAAACCUCGAAGAGCAAGAUUCAAUUCAUCACAACAAGAUAGAGAGGGAAGAACACCAUAUGAUGUGACUAUAUUAACAAAGCCCAUGGUUACAUCAAGAUCGUGUCGGAUCAAGAACACAAGAGAGAGAGAGAGAGAGAGAGAGAGAGAGAGAUCAAACACUUAGCUAGCUACUGGUACAUACCCUCAGCCCCGACGGUGAAUGAUACGUCCAAUUUGCAUCAUGCUUUUAUAUUGAUAUUUAUUGCAUUAUGGGCUGUUAGUACACAUUAUGGUACAAUACUUAUGCCUUUUCUCUCUUAUUUUACAAGGUUUACACAAAGAGGGGGACUGCCGGUAGCUGGAAUUCUGGACAGGAAAGGAGCAAAUCUGAGAGACCUAUUCUGCACAACUCCAAAAGUCCUGAAAAUUUAUGGAGAAUUAUUUUCGAAUAUAUCAAAAAUAUUGGGCGGACAAAAUACCAUAGGGACCCACCAGGAGGCCACAAGCCUAGGGGCGCGCCCUACCCCCUGGGCGCGCCCUUGUGGCUUGUGAGCCCCUGUCAGGUCUCCGGUCCCCAUCUUCUGCUAUAUUAUGUCUUUUCACCUGGAAAAAAUCUAAAGCAAGAUUUUGGGACGAAGCGUCGCCGUCUCGAGGCGGAACCUGGGCAGAAGCAAUCUAGGGCUCCGGCGGAGCUGUUCUGCCGGGGAAACUUCCCUCCCGGAGGGGGAAAUCGAAGCCAUCGUCAUCACCAACGAUCCUCUCAUCGAGAGGGGGUCAAUCGCCAUCAACAUCUUCACCAGCACCAUCUCCUCUCAAACCCUAGUUCAUCUCUUGUAUCCAAUCUUUGUCUCAAAACCUCAGAUUGGUACCUGUGGGUUGCUAGUAGUGUUGAUUACACCUUGUAGUUGAUGCUACUUGGUUUAUCCGGUGGAAGAUCUUAUGUUCAGAUCCUUAAUGCUAUUUAAUACCCCUCUGAUUAUGAACAUGAAUAUGUUUUGUGAGUAGUUACGUUUGUUCCUGAGGACAUGGGAGAAGUCUUAUUACAAGUAAUCAUGUGAAUUUGGUAUUCGUUCGAUAUUUUGAUGAGAUGUAUGUUGUCUCUCCUCUAGUGGUGUUAUGUAAACGUCAACUACAUGACACUUCACCAUGAUUUGGGCCUAGGGUAAGGCAUUGGGAAGUAAUAAGUAGAUGAUGGGUUGCUAGAGUGAUAGAAGCUUAAACCCUAGUUUAUGCGUUGCUUCGUAAGGGGCUAAUUUGGAUCCACAUGUUUCAUGCUAUGGUUAGAUUUACCUUAAUUCUUCUUUCGUAGUUGCGGAUGCUUGCGAGAGGGGUUCAUCAUAAGUGGGAGGCUUUUCCAAGUCAGGACAGCACCCAAGCACCGGUCCACCCACAUAUCAAAUUAUCAAAGUAACAAACGUGAAUCAUAUGAGCAUGAUGAAAACUAACUUGACAACAAUUCCCAUGUGUCCUCGGGAGCGCUUUGCUUCAUAUAAGAGUUCGUCCAGGCUUGUCCUUUGCUACAAAAAGGAUUGGGCCACCUUUCUGCACCUUAGUUACUUUUUUUACUUGUUACCCAUUACGAAUUAUCUUAUCACACAACUAUCUGUUACCAAUAAUUUCUGUGCUUGCAGAGAAUACCUUGUUGAAAACCGCUUGUCAUUUCCUUCUGCUCCUCGUUGGGUUCGACACUCUUACUUAUCAAAAGAACUAAGAUAGAUCCCCUAUACUUGUGGGUCAUCAAGACUCUUUUCUGGCGCCGUUGCCGGGGAGUGAAGCGCCUUUGGCGGGUGGAAUUUGGUAAGGAAACAUUUAUAUUACGUGCUGAAAUUUACUGUCACUUGUCACAAUGGAAAAUAAUCCUUUGAGGGGCUUGUUCGGGGUAUCUUCACCCCGACCGGUAGAGCAAGAAGUUUCUCCUCAACCUACUAAACCUACUGAAAAUAUUUAUUACGAAAUUCCUUCGGGUAUGAUAGAGAAACUGCUAGCUAAUCCUUAUGCAGGAGAUGGAAUGCUACAUCCUGAUAUGCAUCUAAUCUAUGUAGAUGAAGUUUUUGAAUUAUUUAAGCUUGCAGGUUUGCCCGAGGAUGAUUUCAAGAAGAAGGUCUUCCCUUUAUCUUUGAAGGGAAAGGCAUUGACAUGGUAUAGGCUAUGUGAUGAUAUUGGAUCUUGGAACUACAACCGAUUGAAAUUGGAAUUUCAUCAGAAGUUUUAUCAUAUGCAUCUGGUUCAUCGCGAUCGGAAUUAUAUAUAUAAUUUUUGGCCUCGUGAAGGAGAAAGCAUCGCUCAAGCUUGGGGGACGCUUGAAUCUGAUUUGACAAGGGCAGUCCUUGUAGAAGGUUAAAAGGCAACUUGUAUAUCACCUUUGUGGUUUUACGUAGAUAAGAACGGUUCUUAUAGUUUGCCCUGGCAGCCACGUAAAAAUUGCAACAAAAAAGUAGAGGACGUCUAACUUAUUUUUGCAGGGCAUGUUGUGAUGUGGUAUGGCCAAAACGUGAUGUGAUAUAUGUUGAUGUAUGAGAUGGUCAUGUUUUGUAAUAGAUUCACGACUUGCAUGUAAUUGCUUCAUUUUAUUGCUAUGUGUUAGCAAUAGUUGGCGUAGACAACCACGUGACGACACGAUGAUUGAGAUCAUGAUGAUAGAGAUCAUGGUGUCAUACUGGUGACGAUGGAGAUCAUGCCGGUGCUUUGGAGAUGGAGAUCGAAAGCAUGAGAUGAUAAUGGGCAUAUCAUGUCACAUAUAUUGAUUGCAUGUGAUGUUAAUCCUUUUUAUGCAUCUUAUUUUACUUAGAACAACGGUAGCAUUAUAAGAUGAUCCCUUCACUAAAUUGCAAGAUAAAAGUGUUCUCCCUAAGUAUGCACCAUUGCAAAAGUUUGUCAUUUCGAAGCACCUCAUGAUGAUCAGGUGUGAUAGACUCUACGUUCACAUACAAUGGGUGUAAGCCAGUUUUGCACAUACGGAAUACUUGGGUUAAACUUGACGAGCCUAGCAUGUACAGACAUGGCCUCGAAACACGGAGGACUGAAAGGUCGAACAUGAGUCAUAUAUUAGAUAUGAUCAACAUGGAGAUGUUCACCAUUGAUGACUACCCCAUCUCACGUGAUGAUCGGACAUGGGUUAGUUGAUAUGGAUCAUGUAACACUUAGACAACUUGAGGGAUGUUGAUUUAAGUGGGAGUUCACUAGUAAUUUGAUUAACUGAACCAAUUAUCAUGAACAUAGUCUAAUUGUAUUUGCAAAUUAAUGUUGUAGAUCAAAGGCUCGUGUUGUAGCUCCCCUGAAUUUUAAUGUGUUGCAAUGGAAAGAAAAGUUGAAAGAUGAUGGAAGCAACUAUGCGGACUGGGUUCGUAAUUUGAGGAUUAUCCUCACUGCUGCAUAGAAGGCUUAUGUCCUUAAUGCAUCGCUCGGUGCGCCACCCCCUCCACCGUCGUCUAUGGAUGUUGUGAAUGUCUGUCAGGCUCGUUCUGAUGACUACAUGAUAUAUAGUUCAGUGCGCCAUGCUUUACGGGUUAGAACUGGGGCUCCAACGAUGUUUUGAGCACCACGAAGCAUAUGAGAUGUUCCAUGAGCUGAAAUUGGUAUUUCAAGCUCAUGCCCGGGUUGAGAGGUAUGACACCUCCGACAAGUUCUUUAGCUGCAAGAUGGAGGAGAACACCUCCGUUAAGAGCAUGUACUCAGAAUGUCUGGGUACUACAACCGCUUGAAUCAGUUGGGAGUUAAUCUUCCAGAUGAAGUAGCGAUUGAAAGUUCUUCAGUCACUGCCACCAAGCUACAAGGGCAUUCUGAUGAACUAUAAUAUGCAAGGGAUGGAGAAAACGAUCCCUGAGAUCUUCGUGAUGCUUAAGGCCGCGGAAGUAGAAAUCAAGAAAGAGCAUCAAGUGUUGAUGGUCAAUAAGACCACCAGUUUCAAGAAGGGCAAGAGAAAGAAAGGGAACUUCAAGAAGAAUGGCAAGUCAAUUGCCGCUUCCAUGAAGAAACCCAAGGCUGGACCUAAACCCGAGACUGAGUGCUUCUAUUGCAAGGGGAAAGGCCACUAGAAGCGGAACUGCCCCAAGUACUUGGUAGAUAAGAAGGCUGGCAAUGUCAAGAAAGGUAUAUUUGAUAUACAUGUUAUUUAUGUGUACCUUACUAGUGCUCGUAGUAGCGCCUGGGUAGUUUAUACUGGUUCGGUUGCUAAUAUCUGUAACUCAAAACAGGAGUUGCGGAAUAAACGAAGACUAGCUAAGGAUGAAGUGACGAUGCGCGUCGGAAAUGGUUCCAAGGUUGAUGUGAUCGCCGUCGGCACACUCCCUCUACAUUUACCUUCGGGGUUAGUUAUGAACCUAAAUAAUUGUUAUUUGGUGCUUGCAUUGAGCAUGAACAUUAUAUCUAGAUCUUAUUUAUUAUGAGACGAUUAUUCAUUUAAGUCAGAGAAUAAUGGUUGUCCUAUUUAUAUGGAUAAUAUCUUUUAUGGUCAUGCACCCCUUGUGAAUGGUUUAUUCUUGUUGAAUCUCGAUCGUAAUGAUACACAUGCUCAUCAUAUUGAUGACAAAAGAUGCAAAGUUAAUGAUGAUAGUACCACAUACUUGUGGCACUGCCGCUUAGGUCAUAUUGGUGUAAAGCGCAUGAAGAAACUCCAUCCUGAUGGACUUUUGGAAUCACUUGAUUAUGAAUCAUUUGAAACAUGUGAACCAUGCCUCAUGGGCAAGAUGACUAAAACCCCGUUUUCUGGAACAAUAGGAUGGGCAAGUGACUUAUUGGAAAUAAUACAUACCGAUGUAUGCGGUCCGAUGAGUGUUGAAGCACGCGGUGGAUAUCGUUAUUUUCUUACCUUCACGGAUGAUUUGAGUAGAUAUGGGUAUGUUUACUUAAUGAAACACAAGUCUGAAACAUUUGAAAAGUUCAAGGAAUUUCAGAAUGAAGUGGAAAAUCAUCGUAAGAAGAAAAUAAAGUUUCUAUGAUAUGAUCGUGGAGGUGAAUAUUUGAGUUACGAGUUUGGCGCUCAUUUAAGACAAUGUGAAAUUGUUUCACAACUCACGUCACCUGGAACAUCACAGUGUAAUGGUGUGUCUGAUCGUUGUAAUCAUACUUUAUUAGAUAUGGUGCGUUCUAUGAUGUCUCUUACCGAUUUGCCACUAUCAUUUUGGGGUCAUGCAUUAGAGAUAGUCACAUUCACUUUGAGUAGGGCACCGUCUAAAUCCAUUGAGAUGACACCAUAUGAAUUAUGGUUUGCCAAGAAACCUAAGUUGUCAUUUCUUAAAGUUUGGGGAUGCGAUGCUUAUGUAAAGAGGCUUCAGCCUGAUAAGCUCGCGCCCAAAGUGGACAAGUGCGUCUUCAUAGGAUACCCUAAAGAGACCAUAGGGUAUACCUUCUAUCAUAUAUCCGAGGGCAAGAUUUUUGUUGCUAAGAAUGGGUCCUUUCUAGAGAAGGAGUUUCUCUCGAAAGAAGUGAGUGGGAGGAAAGUAGAACUUGAUGAGGUAAUCGUACCUUCUCUUGAACUAGAGAGUAGCACAUCACAUAAUGAAGUUUCCAUGAUGCUGCACCAGCCGGAGAGGAAGCUAAUGAUGAUGAUCAUGAAACUUUGGAUCAAGUUACUACUGAACUUUGUACAUCGAUCAGGAAACAUUUCGCACCAGAGUGGUACGGUAAUCCUGUCCUGGAAGUUAUGUUGUUAGACAAUGAUGAGCCCGGAUUCCGAAAAAUGGCUAGAGGCCAUGAAAUCCGAGAUAGGAUCCAUGUAUGAGAAUAAAGUAUGGACUUUGGUGGACCUGCCCGAUAACCGGCAGGGUAUUGAGAACAAAUGGAUCUUUAAGAAGAAGACAGACGCGGAUGGAAAUGUCACCGUCUAUAAAGCUCGACUUGUCGCAAAGGGUUUUCGACAAAUUUCAAUGAGUUGACUGUGAUGAGACUUUCUCACCCAUAGCGAUGCUUAAGUCUGUUAGAAUUAUGUUAGCAAUUAUCGAAUAUUACGACUAUGAAAUCUGGCAGAUGAACGUAAAAAAGCAUUCCUUAACGAAUUCCUUAAGGAAGAGUUCUAUAUGAUGCAACCGGAAUGUUUUGUGGAUCCUAAGGAUGUUAACAAUGUAUGCAAGCUCCAGCGAUCCAUCUAUGGACUAGGGCAAGCAACUCGGAGUUGAAAUAUACGUUUUGAUGAGGUGAUCAGGGCUUUUUGUUUUAUACAAUCUCACGGAGAAGUUUGUAUUUGCAAGAAAGUGAGUGGAAGCUCUAUAGCAUUCUAAUACUAUAUGUGGAUGGCAUAUUAUUGAUUGGAAAUAAUAUAGAAUUUCUGAAAAACAUAAAGGGUUAUUUGAACAAGAGUUUUUCAAUGAAAGACCUAGGUGAAGCUGCUUACAUAUUGGGCAUUAAGAUCUAUAGAGAUAGAUUGUUUCCUUUUCUGUUUUUCUUCUCACAUUUUUAUUUCAUUUUUUGAUUCCAUUUUUUUUACUUUUGUUUACACUUUCAAAUAUUCUAAACAUAUAUUUACAAAAUAGACUAUCUAUAAUAUUUUGAAAAAUAUUAAUCAUGCAUUUGAAAAAUGUUGAAUGUGCAUACAAAAAAUGUUGACCAUGUACUGAAAAAAAUGAUGAAAUCUUUAGAUUAUGUAUAUAAAAAUAUUAAUCAAAGAAUUUGAAAAAAUGUUGAACAAGUAUUAAAAAAUGUUAGAUAAAGCAUUUAAAAAUGUUAAAUGUGUACAGGAAAAUUGUUGACUAUUUAUUAAAAAAAUAUGAAAUUUCUUGAUCAUAUAUAUAAAAUGUUAAUCUUCAUAUGAAAAAUGUUGAACAAGUAUUUGUAAAAUAUUGAUCAAGCAUUUGAAAACUGUUAAAUGUGUAUAGAAAAAAUGUUGACCAUGUAUUAAAAAAUGAUGAAAAUUCUUGAUCAUGUAUAUUAAAAUAUUAAUCAAGCAUUUGAAAAAAUGUUGAACAAGUAUUUGUAAAAUAUUGAUCAAGCAUUUGAAAAAAGUUAAAUGUAUGUGGAAAAAAUGUUGACAAAGUAUUAAAAAAUGAUGAAUUUUGCUGAUCAUGUGUAUAUAAAAUGUUAAUCAAGAAAUUGAAAAAAUGUUGAACAAGUAAUUAAAAAGCUCAAUCAAGCAUUUGGAUGUAUAGAAAAAAUGUUGACAAUGUGUCCCAAAAAUUGUUAAUAUUGCAUUUAGAAAAUGUUAAUGAAGUAUUUCAAAAAAUGUUAAAUCUGCAUAGAAAAAAAGUUGACCAUGUAUUAGAAAUUGUUAAUCUUGUAUAUGAAAAGUAUUAAUCAAACAAAUGAAAAAGUUUAAAAGUGUGUGUAGGAAAAAUGUUGACCAUGUAUGAAAAAAAUAUUAAUAUUGUAUUUGAAUAAUGUUAAGGCAUUUGGAAAAUGUUUAAAUGUGUGUUGAAAUUUUUUUGACCAUGCAUUACUUUUUUUGCUACAUAUAAGAAGAAUGUAGAAUGAAACCAAAAGAAACAAAGAAACCUCAAAAGAAAAGCAAGAGAGUAGAAGAAAUAAGAAAACCAAACGAAAAACAAAGAAGACAAAAAAGUAAAACAAAAAACCGAUGAAAAAUAAGAAAGAAACAAAGAAACAAAAGCAAAGAAAAAAGGAAAAGCCCAGUGAAAACCGAGAAAGUAAUAAGAAAACAAAAUAAAAACAACAAAAAAGAAAGAAAAGAAAAAACCAAUUGAAACAAUGAGAAAACAAAAGAAAAAAACAAAAUAUAAAAACCUGGAAAAACGAAAAAGGAACAGGGGAAACCCGACUCGUUUUGACUUAAGAAAGCGCGACCUACUAUUUAGUCACGAACGGGAGUCUAGCGCAGUGGCUAGCUGCCCUCGCGAUCAACUAGGGGACCAAGAUUCGAUUCCUCCGUGGGGGCGCAUAGCUCUCUUUUCUUUAUCUUCCUACUAGCAAACAUGCCCGUGCGAUGCAACGGGAGAAUAAAACAUCACAUGCCCCUAACCGAUAAAUAUGAUCGAUCAAGACUCUCUCCUGGAUCCACGUCUUAUAUUUUAACAUGGUAUCCUAUAAGACUCAUCUUAUUCGUGUUGUUACUUAUCCUCCUUUCUGUCAACAAUGGCCGUAGUGGUCAUCGAACAUGGUCAAUCAUCUCAAGGCGAUGAGCACGUCCAUCGCACCUCACAUGUGUCACUGAACCGCGCUAGCGCAGGAGAACAUUUAAAAUCUAAAAUAAUCUCACAGAGUUGGAUGAACCGUGUGAGAGCAAGAAAAUGUUUAAAACUUUAAAAAAUAAUAUUUCCAGGCUAAGAAAAAAUAAUUCAUAUCAACCUAAAGGGGCCAAUCACCUCAAGGGCACAUGCAUUGGGCAUAUACGUACCAAGCAUGUCUCAAAGUGUCAUUUUUUUGGGACGAAGUACCUCCGUUUAAUUACCCAUUUUGUUAUAGCUAGCCACGAUUUGAUUGAUUCUCUCUCUCCCAUCCAAGCCACGUCCCAUUCCACUGGCUGAAUUAAAGCAGUUGUUUGUGUUUUAGUUUGUUACUCAUGCAUGUGGUACAUAUUUGAUGAUGCAGGCAGGCAUCUAAUGUUUCUUUUCUCUUUGAUAUACUUAAGCCACGCAUCUCACUGUUUGAUUGGCCCUGCAUGCAUGCAUGCGUGCGUGCUUUUGCUCCCGUUGAUUUUCUCACGAUGCCUCAUGAAUGCAUGCUUUUCCUCUCGUUGUUUUCCCAUGUCUCAAAUGCCACGUGAGUGCUAAUUUUCGAGAGGUAUAUUAACUGGUCUGGAUGGAUGUGAGGGAUCGAGGUGGUACUUUUAAAUACGUGAAGUGAUCGAUGCGAGUCAAGCAUCAACGAUUAUUUUAGCAAGGAUCGGGAUGGACGUAUAUGUUUGUUUUUUUUGGGCCAAGGCCCAGCCGGCGUACAAGCAUACGAAGACGACUUUUUUUCUUGCGGACAGACGCUAAAGAUUUUAAUACCACCUCGGAUAAACCGACUUAAAACUGGGCCGUAUGUUGAUUAUCUGAAACAUCAGAAGGGUUUUAUGUAAAAUAGCAUGACCGACCAAAAAUACCUAUUUUCUGUAUUAGUAGGUACUAGGAAAACUGCCCGUGCGUUGCAACGGGACAAAAAAUCUCAUGUCAAUUGCCGGUGCUUCGCUAUUGAUUAAAAAACAAUUGCGAUAAACCAAGCGGCAGGCAACGAUGCGCCUAAAUGAACCAAAUGAAUAAUUAAGUGUAUAUGGUUGAUGGAUCAAUUAACAAUAUAAUUCUUUGGGAUGUUAGUUCGGAACUUGCGAUGUGAAUGCUAGUGAACUAAUCCGGUAAACAACAUUAUCUUUAAAUUACCACACUUAUGAUAAAAAUAUCGUACAUGUGGUGCUUAUUUUGAGUUACCGACAUCAGACAAUACAAUGUGGUAAACUUCAUCCAACGUUCAGGCAUGCAUGCUUAUGUCGUGUGCUAACCGUGAAGUCCUUAUUCUGUUGCAAUAUAUGCAAGAUUCUCUAGAGUUCUAUAUAGUGCAGGAAUCUGUUUUUGAUUUAAAAAGGAAAUUGAUUAGAUUCUGCAUCAUAAAUAGAGCAUACAUAACUACUCAUAAAUUAAUUUAAUUAGCUUGCAGAUAAGCAUCUAAAUAUAUGUGUUGUCUGUAUAGUAGUGUUUUACUUCUUCUCAGCAACCCCCUUUAAAAAUUAUGCAACCAUUUUGGCUUGCAUUAUAAGUUUAUAUUAGCCAACUAUGAUAUUCUGUCUAAAUCCUUUUAGAUGAUUAUCACUAAGUAAAGUUAAUCUAUCCUGCAUAGAAUUAUUAAUGUCUUCAAAUCUUGGUUGUAGGAUAUAAUUUCUGUAAUUACCUUUGUUUAAGAAAGUAAGCCAGUUCACUAAGGUAGGUUACUUUUGUUUAAAUAAUAUUUUUAUACUGCGGUAUCCCUAAACACAGUUUAAAAUAAGCAUGAGUAAGUUAAUUAAUGACGGCGCAUGUGUUUCUGGUGUCAUGUUUUUCAUGGAUACAAUUUAGGAACCAGAAAAAUGUUACAAUGUUGUCGAUCACAUGGUCGAUGCCUAGUGAAAAAGCAUACCACAUCGACAGAUUAAUCAUUACACUAUCAUCAGAAAAUAAAAAUAUUGCACAUGCAACACUUUUAAAGUAAUUUUAUCUGGAUGCAAUUGUUGUUGUUCCUCCGUAGCAUCAAUGUUUAGGGCAAAAGUGUGUAUAAGGUGGUUGCAAGUUCCUCCCUACCGCAUCCAACAUGUCCAUCUUUAGGGAUGUCACAGGUAUACCUGGCCAUACUUCGGGCCGGGCCGGGCCUAGCCAAGCCUGACGAAAAAAACCCAGGCCCGAGCCCGGCCCGGCCCGGCCAUCAGGCCUGUUUUCUGGGCCCGAGCCCGGCCCGAACAUGUAAAAGCCCGUCGGGCUCCGGGCCGGCCCGGCCCGACCUUCAGAGAAAUGCAAAAAAGACGGGCCCGGGCCCGGCCCGGCCUUUGGGCUCAAAAUCUAGGCCCAAGCCGGGCCCGGGCCCGGCCCGGCNNNNNNNNNNNNNNNNNNNNNNNNNNNNNNNNNNNNNNNNNNNNNNNNNNNNNNNNNNNNNNNNNNNNNNNNNNNNNNNNNNNNNNNNNNNNNNNNNNNNNNNNNNNNNNNNNNNNNNNNNNNNNNNNNNNNNNNNNNNNNNNNNNNNNNNNNNNNNNNNNNNNNNNNNNNNNNNNNNNNNNNNNNNNNNNNNNNNNNNNNNNNNNNNNNNNNNNNNNNNNNNNNNNNNNNNNNNNNNNNNNNNNNNNNNNNNNNNNNNNNNNNNNNNNNNNNNNNNNNNNNNNNNNNNNNNNNNNNNNNNNNNNNNNNNNNNNNNNNNNNNNNNNNNNNNNNNNNNNNNNNNNNNNNNNNNNNNNNNNNNNCGGCCUUUGGGCUCAAAAUCUAGGCCCAAGCCCGGCCCGGGGGCAGCGUCGGGCCGGGCCGGGUCGGGCUUUUUCGGGCCGGGUCGUGCCGGGCCGGGCUUCCCAUGGCCAGGUAUGGUCACAGGCAUGCCAUCCUUUUCCCGAUCCGGAGCAAUAGCUUCGUUGAGAUCAACUAAAAACUCUUUUGCGAGGACACGUAAAUGUCGGUGUUUGGCCUGGAUUGUUUAUUAUGCGCUCGUAUGAAUCGAGACCAAUAUCGCUUGAAGACAAUUUAUUUUAUAUUUACUUUACUGGACGUGCAAGCAUAUAUGUUUCCGCCGUGUGUGCCCUAACCUAUGUUAGUCGAACAUUGUCUAAUCAUUAUUCAUGUAUGUAUGUGUUGUUUUCUUUUUAGUUUUUGUCUAGUAGAUACUCCCUCCGUUCCAUAUUACUUGUCGCUGAUUUAGUACAAAUCAGCGACAAGUAAUAUGGAACGGAGGGAGUGGUAGUUAGUAUGAGUUUCGUGAGGCACAUAAACAGAGUUAAACUUAUCUUUUUUAAAGAUCAAAUUCAACCUUAAAAUAAAAAGGCAACGUCUGCAUUAUUCGGAGAACAAAGACGCACGCUAGCACGUCCGUGUGAUGCAUCUGGAGAUUUUUAUCGGCAUGUGAACAAACUACUUAUAUUACAAAAAAGAAAAAAUCAAACCUGUGAACAUGCGUGCGUGCACGCUAGCUAGCCUCACACGUUGGCUGGUCUAGAAGAAACCAGCCGCGUCGCUGGCGCUUUUCCAGUCUGGACUCGUCGCCUCGCAGAGCUUAUCUCCUCAGCUUCUCUUGAGUAAUCCACAUCCCCCGAUCUCCACCUACUACCCAGGUAGCACGACCUCCCCGCAUCGCUCGCAGCCCUGGGACACUUCGCCACGGCCGCCGGCACUCCGCCGGAUCUCCUGCACCACCGGGCAUGGCGCGGGCUCCACACCAGCUCCCCCCGACACUCCGCCGGAUCUCCCGCACCACCACCGGGCCAUCCAUGUCGCGGGCUCCAACACCCGCUCCCCCCGCUUCCCCGGCCAUGGCACGGGCAGUUGGGCGGCCAUGCUCAUGCCCAGCACCGGCCG